UCUAAGCAAGUUACCUAAUCGCCACGACUUGUCAGUCACACGAGAUAAUCACAAGGCAGGAAGAAGAAAAUGAAACAAAUGGAUCGCUCGAUGCCUCGACAAAGAGACCUUGCUGCAGCUGCCAGUAACCUAGGGGGAGACGGCCAGGAGUGCUGUUCCACUGAAGCAAGACGUAACAAUAAUAUAGCAUGGCAAUUUCGCCCUUUGUUCUUUGUCUACCGAUGAUUAGAUCACAAGAUGGAGCAGGCCCCCCUCUGCGCCUUUUUCUUCUUCUUUGCCUUUGGUGGCUGCAGCACCACCUUUAUUGCCGCGUCAAAUACACCCUUCACGUUCUACAAAUCAAGGUGAUCAGAAAAGCUCUGUAAGUAACUAAAUAUGGUACUUUACUGUACAUUAAGCAAACAAAUUGAGCAGAUAGCAAUACUAGUUGGGUCUUGGAGCUGCAUUCGAUGUAGUAUGGGGCGGCUAUUAGCUUUCUUAGUUCCUCUCCCUACGAAAUGGCAUGUAAAAGAAAGUUACAAGACAGUCAUGGGAGAGAGCAAGAAAAUAGUAAGAUAUGCUCAUGUAAUAGUGUAAAGCAGGGACUAAACCACCCAUAAUCGCACCUGAGCAGUAGUGAUAGGAACAGCCCCAGGAUGGUCCACAAAGAACUGCUUGUCAUCUCGAAGAUCUGCCACAGAAAUGUAGAAAUGUGAAAAAUAGAUCACAACUGGCAGUCUAGAGCAAUAUAGGUCCAAGGAUAUAUCAUACGUAAACUAUGAUUUUCUGCAACGUCUCAAUCUCACAAGCAUGGUAAAAAAAACUGGCACAACACAACACAGAAAAACUGAAUUCAACAGGACUAUGGAAGAGCAAGGGAUAAACCAAACAGUCAACGACUCAACGAAGUAUAUUGCAAUUUUCUAUUGGAAGCACAGAGCACAGUGGCCAUACCAUAAAGGUUCAGAUAUUCUUAUAUUCAAGUUUUUUCUCAUUUAUGUUCAUCUAAAUGGAAACCAUGCUUUCUAGUGUGCGACCAUCAUUGCAUUGCAGUCUAAAUAACAUUAGAAAACCCUAUGUACACACUUCUUCCAUCGAAAAUGAAACAAAAGUUGAGGUUUCUUACCAAGCUUUGUUCCCACAAGAAUAAUAGGCACACCUGGUGCAUAAUGCUUCAGUUCAGGUAUCCACUGAAAUAAAUAAAUAAAUAAAUAGAGGAUUCAAAGUCACCAAAUGCAUAUCGUAAGUGGCAAUUAAAACUGACUUGAGCAUAUGUAUUGCCAUAAAUAUGACCACACCAAAUUAACAGAAGUCAAGACAAAGAACAAGGAACAAAAAUUUGGGAGACCAUUAUCAUCCCUAGUGGACUGAAAACUACUGGAGAGACCCAUUCAAGACUGCAUUUGGGCCUGUUCUAAUUAGAUUUAGAACCUAUUUCAUAGCACGGAAUAAUUUCUCGCUGAAGAAAACAAUCAUUCAUCAAACAUGACAGACAUGCCAGAAGAAUAACAAUAAUAGAAGAUUGCCAGCUGAAUGAAGGUGUUGAACUUUUCCAGAAAACUUCUGGAACCAGUAAUAUGCAGAGCAAACUUAUUUGCGGAUAACAGAUAAUAAGGAUAAGUCUCUUGCCUUCUUUGAAACAUUCUCAUAGCUGGCCUUGCUGAUAAGGGAGAAGGCCAGAAGGAACACAUCAGCUCCACGAUAACUCAGCGGUCUCAGUCUGUUGUAAUCCUCCUGACCUGAUUUAAUAAAAAAGAAAGGACUUUUACAACUUGGUACCAGAAAACAAACCAAGCAGAAAGAACAAAUGUAACCAUUGGCACAGAGAGAAGGCACAACAGCCAGUUACCUGCAGUGUCCCAUAGCCCGAGGUUGACAGUGUUGCCGUCAACCACAACAUUAGCACUGAAGUUGUCAAACACAGUCGGAACAUAGUCCUGCCAAGAACAAUAUUAUUAGUAAGAAAACAACGAGUGCGCCACAAAUCACUCCUUGCUAGUGCACAAAACGCCCAUCCGACAACAUGAGAGGGGUUGAAUUCCACGAUUAAUGCACGCUCCACUCCUAAUCAUGCCUGAAGACAACCAGAACCCAUGUAGAUAGGUGGCCCAAUGGAUAUAUUCUACUACUACUACAUGGUCACCACCAUGACUCGGGGCUCCAAGCUAAUCUAAUCUAAUCAAUCCCCAAGGCAAGCAGCUCAUGAGUGAAAUCUUGUCUUCUUUUGAAGAUUUCCUACGGGGAAAAAAUAAUCUUGAUUUGAAAAUGAAGCAUGCGUGAAAAGGCAGGGGCUGCCGUCGUUGUGGAUUUGCGUGAAAGGAACAAAGAAUGGCACCCACCACCAACCAUACGGAAGGCGUGAGUGGUAAAAAGGAGGCCCGGAAAGCGAUCUCGGCCUGUUUGAAACGGAUCCGCAGGCCCCCUCAUUGGUUCCCAAAAUUCCUAAUCGACGAAAUCUCCAAUUUUUGCCGCAAUUUGAAAUGAAUCACCGACGAAAGGAAAAAUCCCUGGGAAAAUCUGAACCCCGGCAGGGGAAUGGUAACCGUGCUAGGUUUUCGCUCCUGCCGGGCCCCUGAUUAGGCUAAUUUGGGCCUGAUUUGGGAGUAUCUCAGAAAAGAUCCCCCUUUGGAUAACAAAGCCGACAACCCUAGACGAGAUGAGAUCGCAAUUCGCGGCCGCAUUGUCCCGAAUUGGGAGCCGCCGGGGGGGACAAGUCAAAUCAGGCGCACAAAAUUCACCCCCCCCCCCCCCCCCCCAAAAAAAAUCCAGAUCAAGAACAACCAGCAGCCUCUAAGUACACAAAUUACCCGAGAACCAAUCAAUCAAUCCGCACAAAAGGCGCAACCACCAUUCGUACAACAAGAACAACAACAAGGCGACAUUACGAAAAGAAGAGGUAAGGGAGGAAGAAAGGAACGCACGGUGGGGAAGGUGUUGGAGGUGUAGGAGAUGAGCAUGCAGGUCUUGCCGACGGCGCCGUCCCCCACGGUGACGCACUUUAUGAACCUGGACGCGCUCAUCCUCUCUCCCCCGCUGUCUUAGUCCUCCUCCUCGCUAAGGCGCACCGCCCGACGACGCCCUCCUUCCCUUUGUCCCCCUCUCUCUAUCUCUCUCUGGGUCGGACGAAGAAGAAGAAGAAGAAGAAGAAGGAGGAGGAGGAGGAGCGGGAAGAUUGGGAGCAAGAAGAGAGAGAGGGAAGCAGGGGGGUGUGUGCGGGGAGGAGGUUAAGAUUGGGGCGUGGACAAAUGGAGGGGAGCGCAGGGAAGCAGGGCGAGAGGGUUGCGGGCGUGGGCGGGUGGAAGCGGUCUCCGCGCCGAAAUGCCCUCGGCCUCAAGCCUCGCUGGGGAGAGGAAGAAGAAGGAGGAGCGCUCCUCCAAUGGUGGGUGGGGUGGGGGUGGGUGCGGACGGUGUGCGCGCGCAUCAUUUCCUUCUUUAUUACCGCUCGCUGUGCUUGUGCUGCCCUACCCUCCGGCCUACGCGCAUCACAUUAAUUUCGUCCUAAUUCUGGCUUAUCUUCUUUCCUUUUUUAUUAGACUUAUUUUUUUUAGUGACUAGGAGUAUAUGAACAACAGAGCAACGCUGCCACGAGCACAAACAAGUACUCCGUCCGUACUAACGUAACCGGCGUCGAUUUGUGUAAUAAUUUAUACAAAUCUAAAUCACUUGUUUUAGGACGGAGAAAGUAUGAGAAAAGUCUUAUUUAUUUAUUUUUUGUAGUUCUAAUCUAUGUCUCAGUUAGGAUGGCACCAAUCACAAAGUCAGGCUCUUUCUCAAGCCAAUUCAUUAAUUUCGUCAUAUUUUAUGCAUGUUUUCCUUAUUCCUUUAAGUAAUUGUUAAUUAUUUUCCUUUUUAAAGAACGAGGAUUUUUGUUAGAUAAACUCUAGCAUCACAAUCACACAGAACUCAUGCUAGAAAAAGAAAUUAGAUCUUGGGAGAAGUCUGUCUUCUUCCACGGGCACAAGUCGUUGGUAUUGUUGUUGUUCCGCUAUUGGAUCCAGCCAAAUGUUGUUGCACGUAACGAGAAGUAACUAAGUCUACGGACCACGGAAACCAACACCUGAGAAGAAGACGUCACCACGGCAGCUUGAAACCCUUCAUCCAUGUCUAAUGCCACUGUUCGAGAAAACAACAUUCGUCUGUCACAGCCUCAUGUAUCUGCAUAAGAUCUCCAGGACACAUGAUGCCGAGAUAGGGUUGAAAACUUGAAACACGAGAACAAAAAGCCCAAACUUAGGAUGCUAACGCAACUGAGGGAAACAUAACCGCACCAUCUCAAAGGGACAACAUGGCACAUGCCUCUUCACCUUUAGUCCUUUGCUCUUACCGACUCGACGUAUCCAUGGCGCAAAAGAAGAUGACAGAAACACCCACAAACUAGAAAAACUCUAACGAAUGCCAGCUCCCACUACCCCUUCGCACCAUCCGAACAUAAUUUGAGUAUAUGUUUAUAAAGUUAGUACUUCCCCCGACCCAUAUUACUUGUCACAUAUUCAAUACAAAGUAGUACUAAAUCAUUGACAUGUAAUUCCUGUCGGAGGUAGUAAAAAAAUAAUGGCAUGCCAAUAUUUUGCAAGACACAUAAAAUGGUAUUACUCUCACAUGCUCAGAUGAUAUACUUCAUCGUGUAAUAGUGAUUAAAGUUUUAGAGUAUUGAGUGCAGGCAUAAUUAGUGUCUUAUAUUUUGGAAAGGAAGAGAGUAGUAAUGUAAUGAAAAAGUUAACGCUGAUACUGAUUUUUAAUUUUUAAGAAAAACAUGUAAGAUUUGCCCAUUACAUUAAUUUAAAAAAACAUCAACCCAAAUAAGGACUUUUUUUAAAAGAAAAGGAGAGUGGUUUACGGGUCUAAGACUAUAAUUUUACCCUUAGACUACAACGCCACGCUUACUCGCUUGUUUGCACAGCCCUGUCACGCUUCACAUGAAUUUAGCAAGAAUUUCAUGUAUACAAAACAAUUAAUCUCUUGUGAGCAUUUGGGGAAAAAUGACAUGUUGCUGCCUUUCUGAUGUAUCUUAAUUCUUAAGAAACAAUGAAGCAGGGUGGUUGUAUAACUGCAACCGCUCGUCCUUUGUUCUUAUUUUUUUUCUUUCUAGUAGGAUCUUUUCUAAUCAUUUCCACUUUGUCUUAUUAAUUAAUUAAUUUAUUUAUUCCCACAUCAUACCACCAAAUUUCAGUGUCACUUUCUUUUGGGCGAGUAUGUAGGCACACUAGGCGUUCUUGCCAGAAAAAGGAAAAGUACGAUUUGUUGGUUGUGAUGGAAGACAAGACAGCAAGAUUCAGAACUGCACAGAGCAUCCAGAUAUUGUGAAGCUUGGAAAACUCUCUUUUUACUCACUUCCUCGAAACAAUUCAAGUUUUUUGUCUAAAUAACUAAAAGGAAAAUAUAAGGGCUUCAGUAGUUUCAUAUAUAAUCACUUCAAUUCUUGCAGAAACUGGGCAAUUUUCGACAAAUCAAAGAGGCCAUCAUGCUUGCAUUUGCUUUUCCACCGAUUAGCAUUGCCAACAUUUAAAUGCAAGCAACAUCAUGCCUACAUAUGUGAUCUAAAAAACUGCAUUGGUUACUUGUCUGGACAGAAAUGGUUCAUGAGCUAACUUCCAUCCAGCUGUGAGUGGGAGCAGUUAGGAACAACCAACACACCAUCAUAUAUAUGCAUAUGAGUGCAGUGUGCCAUACAUAAAAUAGUCUAGACAGCUAAUAAAAUCCAGGAUCCAACUGGAUAGAUUAGGUUGGAGCUUAUUGCUUCCUUCCCUCUCCUGUGCUGCCACAUCAACAAGGGAACCCACCACUGAUACACCCAAUCAAAUUAUGUAAGCAAGCACUGCUGAUUUCAUCUCAUCAAUGUAUGCAUCGAUAGUCAAUACAAACUUAGCUGAUAUCUCGAAUUGACCUAAGUAGUACCCCGGAUUGAACUCGGUUUCCAUGCAACAUAACUGAAUACGAUAUCGUUUGGAUAAAUUUCUCAUCCCUGCUGAAAAUUUAUUUUAUGACUUCUGUUGUCCUUUUCUGGUGCAACAAAAGGCACAUAAAACAGUUGGCAAAACCUUGUUUGGCAUUACUAAACCCAAGGGUAAGCACUCUCCCUUCUCAGUAUAGGGUUGUGCAGUUAUUCGAAUUUGUGGAUCCUUUUAGCUGACUCGAGUGUGUUUGACAGAAGCAUCGCAAUUGUCAUUGGCCCAACACCGCCGGGGACUGGCGUGAUCGCCCCUGCAACCUUUGAGGCCUCCUCGUAGCAGACAUCUCCAACGAGCCGAUAGCCUCGAGGCCUUGCUGGAUCCUGAUGCAUUUCAAAUCCAUGGUAAGUAUAUGAUGCAAGAACAGCAAUAAAGAUGUGCUGCAAUGGGCAGACCAGUAGAGAAAGAAGAACACACUGGACACUGUGAAUCAAAUAGAACAUUCCCAAGUAUUAAUAGAGUUCUGAAUUGAUUGAUCAUUACAACCUACCCAAGCUUAAAACAGGAUGUCAACAAAUUCACCAGCAGUAGCCAAAUGUGGGGUUCAUAGAAACUUAAGAAGCCAGUUGCAACUUCCAUCAAUGUCUCUCUAAUGGUGGGAGCACCAGACUGCGUAGCUCCUUAGCAGGUAGGAUUUGAUCCCAGGUAAGGACCUGAAGAAUAACCCUUCUUCCCCCAAAAUUAUCAUGUAAAAUGCCCCGUGUUCUGAGAUUGUCUAAAUUUUGCAUAUUUGAACCCAAAAAACAUAUUACAAAAGCGUGCAGCCCCAUUUUUUUUUAUGCAAACAUUAUUGAUAAAACAAGUCACCUUAAGAAUAAAAGAUGAUAUGAAAAGGUCCUAGCUGGAAAAGUAGGUGCCUUACAUCAACAGUAUUGAUGCCAACAUCAAUAAUAGCAGCUCCAGGCUUUAUCCAACUCCCCCUGACCAGGUUAGCAACUCCAACAGCUGCAAUGACAAUAUCUGCUUGUCUUGUUAUUUCCUCAGGGUUCUUGGUUUUUGAAUGUACAAUGCUCACAGUUGCAUUUGCUUUCUAAUAAUCAUAUUAAGAGAUGUUAAACACUGAAAUAAAGUAGUCCAAAUAUUUGAAAUGGAAAACUAGUUCAUACUUGCAAGAGUAAAGCAGCAGGCAUCCCCACAAUAUUGCUUCGUCCAAUUACAACAGCUCUCUUCCCUUUUAUUUCAACUCCAUAUCUGUGUAGCAGCUCCAUGCAUCCUUUAGGGGUACAUGGAACAAAGAAUGGAUCCCGACCUUGCAUUGCAAGUCGUCCAAUAUUCAGCGGAUGAAAUCCAUCAACGUCCUUCUCGAUACUAACAGCAUUCAAUAUGUUCUCGUCAUUCAUAUGCUGCAGAUUAAUUCCAACACAUGCGUGAACAACAAAGCUCGAGAAUCAGCAUAGAUAAUCAAUUUGAAAAGAACACUGACAACCAACAAAAGCCCACAGGUAUGAUUAUUAGCCAAAAAACAUGUUCAUCUAUAUUAUUCAUGAGGUCCAAAAACUGCAACAGAUGGUUUCUGUAACAAUCAUACAACAUAAAGGCAGAGUUAUGAAUGGAAAUAUUUGGUGUACGGUAGGGGAAUUCCACCAUUAUUGAAGCCUUAACAAGAUCUACUAUGCCUAAAAGGCUAAAAGGUAUUUCAUUGGCAGGCUAUAUAAUCAUAUUAUCUAGGUAUGCAAUCGCCAGGUAUUAAAAAACUAAACUAAACUUUAAAUAUACAAGUCACCGACACACAAAAUUAGGUUCUACAGUUAUAACAGAUAGAGUAGCGACUAUUGAGAACUCACGGAGGGUAAUGGCAACUGAACCAAGAUGCCAUGCACCGACGGGUCGCUGUUGAAGGUUUCGAUAUGCUUAAUAACCUCAUCCUCGGAACAGUCCUCCGGCAAGUUGACCUCAUACGACUUAACACCGACCGCUUCACACGCGUUCUUCUUGUUCCGCACAUAGGUCUGGGAAUCCCUCCUCGACCCAACCAGGAUGACCGCCAACCCAGGCACUACCCCGAUCGCGUCCUUCAUCCUGGCAACUUCGACGCGGACUUCCUCCCUUAUCUGUUCCGCUACCAGCUUCCCGUUGAUGAUCUUGGCCGCAGGAGCAUCAGCCACGACAGUUGCUGCACAGGUAAAUCCAUCGACAGAAUUGUAACACAUCAGAAAAAAAACAGAGAUCAACAAAUGUACAUAGGCAAAAAUAAUAUCUCGUUGCAUAAAUCAUCCAUUGCUGUCUGUAACUUGAACUAAUGCAGCAGAAAUGGAAAACUGUCUAAGGUUGUGCUUUUUGCUGAUGAAGAUGUCACCAGUCUCCACAAUUCGACACGAAACGGAUACUUGCAUGACUGCUAACGAAGGGAAUGAGGAGAAGUCAGUGGGGGCGAACCUGGGUCGGCGGAAGCGGCGGCGGCGGCGGAGAAGGAAGCCAUGCUGCGGGUGCGGGGGAGCAGCGGGAGCGGUGGGGCGGCGACGAAGAGAGGCCUGGGCUGCGGCGGCGCUGCGGCGGGGAAAGGGCGAAAGCGGGGCGGCGGGUGGAGGGCGGCGCGGCGGAGCGGGAGGAGGCGGGAGGCGGCGCAGGAGGAGCAGUCGGAGAGCAUGGAGGACGCCAUCGCCGCCGCCACGCUAGGGUUUUAGGACCCCCCGGAGCUCGCGGCGAGGUUUUCGCGGGCGCUGUACUUAAUUUGGGCCGGAUAGCCGCCGGCGCGCGCGAGUGGAGUCUGGAGACUGGAGAGGGUUUGGGCGGCGGCUGAGAUUCUUCAGGAGGUGGAAUUUGAGGGUUAUUUUGCUCGAGAUAGGGAACGAGAAACUAUAUUCUUAUUCAGAAAUACAUAUUCCGUAUAUUUUAGACGUGCCCAACACUAAAGAUGGAUUUAUUAAUAAUUAUUAUUGGCUUCUUUUGGAGAAUUGGAGGAUAGAAAUAAAAAUUUGGAUGCAGCAACCACGCAGAUUGGCGUAAAAAACAUCUCCAUAUUGUCUCAUCGUCGAAUAUAUCAUGAACCUGUCAUGUGGUAAAGGAAAAUUUCACAUUAUUAAAGCGCUCAACUGUUCUUACAUCUUACUCCGCUUACUAGACGGACCUAGUAUAUGUUCUCCAGCAGCAACAGAAGAAUUAAGCAAAAUAGCCUAAAAAAAUACAGAAAAAAGGACCAAAUCCUCGGUAUCAUUACACACGCAAAAUGAAACAAAAGGAAGUAAGAAAAAGGAAGCCCUCACACACUCUCACUCUAUGCUCAACUCCCUACAAGGAAAAGUUAUGAAGCGGCGGGAACAGCGGCAGCAGAUUCAGCCGGGGACUCUUGGUUCUUAUGCAGUGAUUCCCAGUCCACCUCCUUCAGGAUCCGAAACCUUUCGUCGAGAUUCACAAAACCGGACUGAGGGGCGACCGCUCUGCAGAUGCCGGCUUUGUGCACCAGGAUUAUGGCGCUGGCCAUCUCAGGCCCGUGAAGCUUCCCGGUCAGCAGCACUCGCAGCGGCAUAAACAGCGAUUUUCCCUGGUUUCACAGAUUGAUACAACAAGAAAAGGAGUAUAUAUUAGUUGGUUCUUUCAGUUGUGUAUGGCCAGGAAAAGCAUUGGCAUUUGGCGGAGAGAUCAACAAUGAGUAUUUGUUAUAGCUGCAUUUUCAUCAUCUCUAGUUAUCAUGGUUUAGGUGAGAUCGGUUGCUUCCAGAAGAAGUUGUCGAUUCUGGUAGGGCUGAAAAAGAAUAUGGUAAUAAAUCUUGCAUGCACGUUUUGAGUCAGUUCAAAGAUAGAACUGCUUUGGAUGGACACGGACACUCUUUAGAUUCCGGUGGCAACAAAGGCAAAACCACAAUUUACUAUCUUUGACACUGACCUUCCUUUUGUGAGACUUCCCAAAAGAUUUCACCCACUUCUUCCAACCAUCAUGGCCUUCAGCUAUUGCUUGACAAAGCUCUCCACUAUCGUAAGCAGAAAUGAGACCUGAUGCAACCUCAGAAAGUUUGUCUUCCACCACAGGUUUAGCUUCAUCACUGGAGAUUAAAAAGCAUGGGAUUAUUGGAACAGGCCUAUCACAACUAGCAACUCAGUUGAAUUUUUUUACUAGACUACACCUUUGGCAACAAUUUUGAAGGUAGUUUCAAGAAAAUGGUAAAUAAAUGAGGCGUUGAAUGUAAUAAGCUGCACUGUUUUGCAUACCUGCUUAAAGUAUCAUGAAGGGGAUACGACAAUAAAUUCGAAAGGGCUGCAUCGGCAUCUGUUAUCAAAUCAAUGCCCUCCUUCAAAAGCUCAGCAGCUUCCUGCGCAAAAUAGUGCAUAUUAUUAUUGAAGUAUCCUGAUGUUGCAAGAAAAUGAAAGAAAAGAGGAUUUGUUGAUGAUGUAUCAAGAAUAAACAAGAACGCUGCCUUGUACAUAGCUUCCUUUUGGUGGUGGUCAGAAAGGAACAGAAACUCAUGGAACCAAAUGCUGUAUAGAAUGCUUGGCAUAUUCCUUUAGCGCAAGUUUUAAAGCACAGACACCCCUCGUGUGUUGGAAGACAAGUGAAUGCAAAUCUUACUUUGGCAAAACCACUUUCAGACUCCAGAAGAAUGCCUGUGUUCUUCCAGCGAUCUUCAAAGUUCUUGAUGAGUAAAUCAGAUGGAAGUGAGCGCAGAUGCUGUCCAUUCAUCCAUCUAUAUAAAUAUGCAAAACUGAUCAUUAGCAAAGUAGAUCAAUAAAGCACGUACACAAUUUUCCAUGCUCAAGUGGGUGAGAAGGUUCCUACCAAUAUGUAAUUUGUAACUUUGUAAGGAUCUGACAGGAGAUAUAUAAAUUGAUUGACAACAAGGUAAUAAUGGAUGUGAAUAAAGCGCAUAUACAAUUUUCCAUGCUCAAGUGGGUGGGAAGGUUCCUAUCAAUUUGUAACUUUGUAAGGAUCUGACAGAAGAUAUAUAAAUUGAUUGACCACAAGGUAAAAAUGGAUAAGCCAAGAAAGUACAAGGACAAAAUUUGAGCUUGGUGGUGGUAGCUGUGGACAAAAUCCAGUAUACAAGUUUUGACCAUGAUGUGGCAUGCCUUUAAAACACUACUACUUAUCAUCAAAGAAGAAAGGUGCAUCAGAACUAUUUCUUUCAAGCUCACUGUAUUUAUCUAGCUUACACGUCAAUUCCAUCAAUAGCAGUAUAGCACAAUGUGAUUCUAGAUGCUUCCUAGCUCAAUGCCUCAACAACAUUGGAUAAUCUUAAGUAAACUUUUAACAUUAUCCCCUUAAUUUCUUUUGAUAUCUGGAUUUCUCGCAAUACUGUCCCCAGCUUGUUAAAGAGUUCAUGAAAGACUCACGCUCAUUAGUUCUCAUAUGAUUGCAAUGAAGCCAUGGUACAAAACUUAAAACAUGAAAUAUCAAGUGUUACCAAACUCAUUUUGAUUAGCUGAACUGAAUCCUUACAAUUGGAAUCAUAGAAAUUUUGAUAGUUUCGCCAUGAUUACUUUACCAGAGAAACUUAGCAAAGAGAGCCUUACUUUAAUUUUGUUCCGUCAAAGACUGCUCCACUUUUAUUGACACGAUUUAUAGUGAAUUUUUCAACUGCAAGAAAGAGAAAAACAAAGUGAGAGUCAAUAAAAGAAAUGGUCAUUAUGAUUUUUAUCGCCACAGUAAAGCAGAGACUGAAUCAUUCAUAAACUAACCUAGGUCAUCAAUAGUGAAGAACUCAUUUUCAGUACCAUCACCCCAUCCGAGGAGUGCUAAAUAAUUUACCAUUGCCUCAGGCAGAUAGCCCAUCUCUUUAUACUGUGGAGAGAAAGAAAUAAAAAAGACAAUGUUUCACUUUCCUACCUUUCAAAAGUAAAAUAGACCAGGGAAAAACAUGAAAUUGUGAGUAAUUAGUUGAACAAUACAGACAAAUGAAGAGAUAAUUGCAUCAAAAAUAUGCUUUCUAGUCACAUAUUUUGAUGCACAUAAACACCAGGUAUUUCCAACAGUCCGUUAGUUACCUGCCCCACAGAAGUAGCGCCAUGACGUUUAGACAGUUUACUUCUAUCAGGAGCCAGAAUGAGUGAGACAUGAGCAAAUAAAGGCAUUGGAAAUCCAAGAGCCUGCAGAAGAUUGUAACAUUGCAGCAGAUUUUUAUGUCAGGAUGGUCAUUUUGAAUCUAUAAGACUAUAAUUAUGAUAAAAGCAGGCGCAGAAAAUUACUUUAUAGAUGAGAGCUUGCCGCAAUGUGUUUGGUAGAUGCUCCUCAGCUCUGGAAAAAACAUGAGAAUGCUUGACUUCAGGGCCACAAAAUAAGGAGCAAAGACCAAAACGUGAUAACUUUUCUUACCUGAUAACGUGAGAGAUGCGCAUGGUAGCAUCAUCAACAGUGACACAGAAAUUAUACACUGGCUGACCAUUGCUUCUCAUAAUCACGAAAUCCCCAAGCGUGUCUAAAUUCCAACUGACCUUUAUAAAACUAUCUGAUGUUCAGUGUAUGUAUAUAACUUUGCACAUUUUGUAAUUUUGAAUUUUAAGCACAACAGUAGCGUAGCAGUAUGGUAAUGCCAAAGCAUAUGCUCCAGUACUUUAUGCCGUUACCUCGCCGCGAAUAAGGUCGUUGAUUUUCAGUGAACCUUCCUUUGGCACUCGAAAACGGUAAGUAUAAGGUGUCCCUUUCUCUAACUCCUGUUGUACUUCUGCAUCUGAAGCAGUUGCCCACUUUCCCAUGUAUACAGGAGGAAGUUUCAUCCGAUUCGCAGUUUCCUUCAUUUUUUCAAGUUCCUGAAGUCAUAAUAGCAAUUGUCAAACUAGCUAAUAUUUGAUUAGUGAAUAUUACAGACAGGUCGGAUCAUGAGUCUACUUGAAACAACAUCCCUGAAUUGUUCAUUGGGUUUUAACCGACUCAUUUGACAUGGGUCAUUGUAGCAUUAGUCACAUUAAAAUUUUCACUAGGAGCACAAAAGCCCAAGCAUUUUACUCAAAAGCAAACAAGAGAAUACUAGUAUAGGAGAAUUUUACUAAGUUCCAUGCUAAUAAGAUGCAGAAAAAACAGCCUACAUCACAUAUACUUGAAACUGGAAUCAUGAAAAUCAUCUCUCGUUAUGCAGGCGGCAAACAUGGAGGUCAAAAGUGGGGAACGGGGUACCUCGCUGGAGCAGAAGCAGCGAUAAACUGCAUCAGACUCCAUCAACUUCUCGGCAUGCUGUUUGUAUAGUGAAUUGCGCUCCGACUGGCGGUAAGGGCCAAAUUCGCCGCCAACGUCCGGACCUAAACAGGUGAUAUAAAUGAGCACUGGCAUUCUCUAACAAUUCAUAGGCAGAAGAGUUAACUCUACUGAUUCAAUACUUCAACGGAAGUACAAAGCGGAAUGAAGCAACUCCACCAUUGCAAACUAUGCUCCGUAGUGGAACGGAACAACCCAACGCAGCAACAGAAAUCUGUCAUCAUCGGAAGCUGUAGAUUGACUCGGAAGAACGAACCAACGGUAAUUACCUUCGUCCCAGUCGAGGCCGAGCCAGGAGAGGUCGCUGAGGACGGCGUCCUCGGACUCCUUGGUGGAGCGCUGGAGGUCGGUGUCCUCGACGCGGAGCACGAACUUGCCGCCCCUGGAGCGCGCGAAGAGGUAGUUGAAGAGCGCGGUGCGGGCGCCCCCGACGUGGAGGUUGCCGGUCGGGGAAGGCGCGAAGCGGACGCGGACGGGCCCGCCGUCGUCGCCAGCGGAGGCGGAGGCGCGGACGGAGAGCGUGCGGCGGAGGAGGCGCUGCGCCGGCGCGGACGGGAGCAGCCUGAUGCGGAGCCACGGCGACCCCAUGAAGGUGCUCGCCGCCAUCUCCUCCGGUCGUCGCCUUCGAAAGCCCGGAAGUGGAUUGGAUUUGGAUUACGGCGACGAGGUUGGGCAAGAUAGGCUGGGCUGGCUUUGACUUUGGGGGCCCAAAGCCCAGUUCAUGAUUCACGACCGGGGUGUCUGGAUGACGCGUGGAGCCUACAUGGCAGGGAGCAGUUAGCUUUUUACUCUCUCUCUCUCUGUUGUUGACAAAAUCUACAGAGUGAACGCUUCCUCCCUGGUAUUCCUCAGUGAACAGCGCGAGAAGAUAGGAACAGGGUGCAACACACUUGUGGGGUGAGAGACAUUGUUGCGACACCCUUCUUCCUCUUGAGCCUAGGGGGAUGAUUGUCGAGGAUGAGCGACCGGCAACAAGGUGGAUCAAUGGACGGGGCGGCGAGAUGCGGCAUAACCGUGCAAGAUGUGGUCAAUGGAGCCGGCAAGCCGAGAUCAACGAUGAUGAACCAGCGGGGGUGGAGCAAAUGAAGAUGUAUCAUCACUCUUUUCAUAAUCACUUUUAGUGGGCGAAGGGUAACACAUUUUGUCCGUGCUAGCUCAAUUCUACAAAGAACGAUGUUUUUUUUAUAAAAAAGCACGCAUUUUAACAUCCGAACCGUUCACGACAAUCCAGAACCACGAGUCAACAACAACCCAUUAGACUUGUCAAAGAAAAAGCGAAAUGUAAUUAAACUCGUCAUCAUUUCCUCACUAAGUUCGUACUAAAUCAUUAACACUUAUUAUGCAUCGGAGCGAAUACAAAAGAAGUGCCGGUUCAAGUUUGAAAAUGCCGCAGUAGCAAACGGAGCCAUGCCUGAUUUACAUUACAAAUUCUACAAACGAAACGCUCAUGGAUGCUUUGCUAGCACAAUCAUCCCAAAAACCCAACAAAAUAUCUCCGACCAAAGAAUAUAGAAGCACGCAAGUUACAUAUGGGUGACGGGAAGAAUAUAAUCUAGCUCUCGGAUCGGGCACAUAUGCUCUGGGGAGAUGUAAAGCAAAAAAAGAAAAAUGGAAAGCUAAAAGCGAAAAAAUGGAAAAGGAAAACGAAUUUGUGUAUGUAUGGCUAUGGCCCUGUCUAUCGCAAUGUGGAAUAAAGAAGCGUCUAGAGUCUAAGCCUAGAUUAUGUGCCGCAUGCCGCACCUUGGACGGCGCGCAUCAUCCAUCUUUCUUGAUUGGUUCAACAGAAAAAAAGAAAGAAAGAAAAAUGCGUGACCAAAUGGAGACUGCCAUGGAGCUUGGGACUUGUCAAAAUCAAUUUUAGCUAGUGAAUCCAUUUUGUUUACUGAACUAUUUUUGACCGAUAACAAAGAUAUGAAGGCCUGUUCUGGUAAAAAAAAAAUAACACUCGGCGCCGGCUUCUUCAGAGCUGAGACCCAAAGACGCCGAAAAUCACUGUAUGGGGUUGGGCAGUAGAGGGGCAGAGUGGUAAAAAAAGGGACUGGUUUUUACCUCUGCUGUUGGAUGGAGAGCUACAGCAGCCUCGAGUGGCGUGUAGCAGCUGGUAGAGUGCCAUGUGGAGGCAAAGCACAGUGCGUGGAUAGGCACAAGAGCCAGGCGAGACGAGACACCGACAGAGCCAAGCAAUGCACAGUCACAGCAGCAGCAGCAGCACAAGAAGCAGAACAAGUCAUCAGUAAACUUUCGAGCACGAGAAAGAGCCGGCCACCUGACGAUGCUUCUCAGGCUUUUGUACUAGUACUACUACUAGAAAUAUUAUUGUUGAAAAUAAUAUAAGUAACCUAUACUCCAGACCUCCAGCAGUGCUAUCAGGAGGGUACCAGCAGCACCAGUCUGUUCCUUUUUUUUGUUUUCUCCAAUCCCAUCAACCAAACUGUACAGCACAUGUACGUUCAGUUCUAUCUAUCCAGACCAAGUGAUCAAAGAUUAAGAGUGAUAUACUAAUUAGUACAAGUAAGCAUGAAAACUUCACAGUUCAUGCUCACAGGUCUCUAGGGUCUAGCAUCCAAGAUUUAAGCAAGCAGAUGUCUGAACCAGUGUUAGUGAUACUCCAAAAGAGCACCAGACAGGGCAUGACACCCCAUGGUUGGGGAACUGACACCACUCGCGCGUGCCACACCGUCAGAGAUCAGAGCAAGGAAAAGGAUGGAGGUAAGUUAAAUACUACUGUAAGUACACACAGCAUGCAGUACAGUAACUUUCCGCUGCAAAAACAAAGAAAGGUAGUACAGCUACCUCUCAUUGUUCAGCCCAAACAAACAAAACUUUACUUUUGCAAUGCAGCUAAAGAAAGUGAUGACAUUGUACUGCUCUACAGUGGUAGGAGUAUUAGUUUACUACGAUUAACCCAAUCAGAACUCUGCAUAGUACUAAUUCACCUUUUGUACUGCAAGUAAAGCAGGUGACAGUGUGCAACAUAUAGUUAACUACUAGGAUUAACCAAAGCAAGAAGUUUGCAUAAACUUCAGCAGGUGACAGAGAGUGUGCUGCGGGAGCGGAUUAGUGUACUACGAUUAAACCCAAGCAUAACUUCACUUCUGCAUAGCAGAUGAAUCAUGAAUGCAUACUAGUACUAGCCAGGAUUAAUCAAUACUAACAGGGUACACUAAUCAUUGGGAUCUGACAAUAAAGAGAGAUAGAUCAUAGCGGACAAUAACCAACUUUUAAUUCUCGAUGGAACCAAAAAAGCGAGAGAUUGUUUUUGAAAUCUCCUCAUCACAUCACCACAGGCACAGGAAAAAUGAAUUACCAAUCCAUCAUGACGAUCAUAAAACAUUAACCAGAGUACUGAGACCAGACCCAAUUCAUAGCAAAAGCAUCACACGACGACGACGACGACCAACAGAAUCCAACGACGGGGAAGGGGAAGGGGGAGGGGAAAUAAACUGAGGGAAGCGGCUCAGGCAAGCCAAGCAAGCUAGCGCUCCAAAUUUAACAAUCCAGAUCCAUCGGCAAAACUAAGACCAAUAACUCCGACGGCCGGCCGGCUUUAAGAGGAGAGGUAUUUAGGCGGAGAUCUAUAUGGAGAUGGGGGAUAUAAUCGGGAGAUCGGGUGGUUGGUUGAACGAACUAACGAUCGAUCUCUCACUUGGUGCAGUCGCGGGCCAUGUGGCCGGGCUCGCCGCAGUUGUAGCAGUUGCCGCCGCCACCGCCGCCCCCACCGCCGAACCUCCCGCCGCCGCCACCGCCGCCGAAGCCGCCGUUGGUGGGGCAGUCCCUGGCGAGAUGUCCAGGCUCGCCGCAGUUGUAGCAGUUGCCGCCGCCGCCGCCGCCACCGCCGCUGCGGAAGCCGCCGCCGUUGGUGGGGCAGUCCCUGGCGAGAUGUCCAGGCUCGCCGCAGUUGUAGCAGGCACCCCCGCCGCCACCGCCCCCACCACCUCCACCGGGAGCGGAGACGAAGCAGUCCCUCGCCAUAUGCCCCGGCUCGCCGCACUUGAAGCAGGCCCCACCGGCGCCUCCCCCACCACCAGAUCUCCUCGCGCCGCCGCCGCCGCCCCAUCCACCACCAUACCCGCCAGAUCCGUCCCCGCCGCGGGACCCGAAGCCACCACCGCCGCGAGAUCCGCCGCCGCCGCGAGAUCCGAAGCCUCCACCACCACCCCCACCACCGCCGCCGCCGCCCUGGACGAAUGAUCCGUCGGGGCCGGUGACGUCCACCGCCUUGGUGCGGCCAUCGUCGCCCUCAGAGAUGGCGAACUCGACCACCUCGCCCUCGGCCAGCGAGCGGAACCCGUCGGCCUUGAUCGACGACUGGUGCACGAACAGGUCCUCGCCGCCGUCGUCGGGGGAGAUGAAGCCGAACCCCUUGGUGUCGUUGAACCACUUCACCGUCCCCUUCAGCCGCGCCUCCAUCGCCAUCGCUCGCCCGUCCGCAGCAAGCAAACCCUACCUAGGGUUAAGUGUUUUUUUUCUCUCUCUCUCUCUCGGCGUGCGGCGAACGAUCUUAUCUGCUCGGGGGGAAGAAGGAGAAGGAGCAGGGGCCAUAUAUAUAGCCGGCGGCGGGGGAUACGAGGAAGGCGAAACGGAUCGGGCGGCUGGGAUCGUGCCACGGAGUUUAAACGGACGGACGAGAAGGGUCGGAAGUACGUGUACCGCAAGGGCGAAGAACCACUGACGUGUGGGGCACAGGUUUGCACGUGUGCGUCGCCCAUCUGUCAGAACCAGGACUCGCCAGGUGUCCGGGGCUCUGACAGGUGGGCCGCCCUCAACCUGAGGGUAGUUGGGUGGUGGCUCGAUCGGGUGCGCACGGGAAUCAAUGCUCGACACUGCUGUGAUGUGAUUUUUUUUUUUGGGAGGAUGCCUUGUUCAUUGUUUAAUGUUAACUAGCGAAUAUUAUAUGUUACUCCGUAUUAUGGAUCCAUGUUAUCCAAGGGCGGUUGUCAUCGAAAACAAACAGAACACCUCUGAAGCAUUCAUUGGGAAGAGCCAGCCACAAAUCCAAUAGACUCUUGCUACAUGAAUUAUUUGUCAUUUACCAGAGGAUUCAUCUAUUUUUGGCACGACCGACUGAUGAUGACCCUUUAAAUUUACUACCAGUAUCUAUUGUUUAUACUGUACCAAUUACUCCUGUCUAAUUUUGGUUCUGCAAGAUCUACAGGACCCAGGAAUCCAACAAAUCAUGCAAACUGCAAAUGACAGUUCUUUUUUUUUUUUGCGGGGUACUGCAAAUGACAGUUUCCCUGCGUCAUUUCAAAGGAGCCAAACACGGUGUAUUUCUUCUAGUACUACAUAGGUGUGGAUACAGCUCCCAGCAUCCAAGAGUGGCACACAGCCAUUGUCAUACAGAAAAGAGGGGUAAAUUUUUCUUAUGGGUGUCACUGCAGAAUAUGGAAAAGGAAAAAGGGGAGAAAAAGAAGGGUUCUCUCGAACAGCGCGGUCGAGUCAUUUUCCAGAUUCGGGCAAGCAGCAGAGAGGCCCAAAGCAAUACUGCUAACCCAUGCUCAAGCCAACCUGCUGCUUGUGGCUGCCGGCCAGACCAUUGCUGCCUCAUGAUUCCCAAGCUUCAUGUUUCUCGGCGUCAGAAAGAGUUAGAUCAAGCCGCGGUCAUCCCAAAGCAUGAUAGCCUGAUCAUCAAGUUUUAACAGAGGGUGGAAGGUGUUCAACUACCGGGCCUUACGGCAGAAUUCCUCCUUUAGAGUGUCCUCCAGCUGCGAGAACAAUGAUGAGAAGGUACCUGCACACAGGAUACCAGUGGUUCAGUCUCAUUGUCACCACAGCAACAGAAAAGAAAACACUCAACCUUUGUGAGAAGCUAUUAUCCAAUAUAUACGUAAGAGAUACUCUGUACAACCUGAAUUCAUAACUUGAUAUUCGUGAGUACAGUGGAACUAUUGCAGUACAUGAGCAAAGUACUCAUCCAUAUGCACAUGUAAUACUAAUACCGAUGAACCACAAACUGAGCAUCAUGUUCCUUGUGCUGGAAUCAUGUAAUCAAAAUAAUGACAAGUGAUAUCACACUAAACCAUGGGAUGAUCUACGUAUGUUUGAGAGUUGAGAGUCUCUCGGGUUAACUUCUCUGUACAACCUGAAUAUUUAUUGCCAAUGGCAAGGACGGUCUAUACAAAGGAGACACCUUGAAGACCAACAUGACAUAUGAUCCGUAUCUACAGGCUUUGCCUCCUGCAGACCAACCGGCCAGCCUCCAUAGGACGUUGAACUUCAAGUGUCAUUUAUGUCUCCUUUGUGCGAUUAGCCACUAGCAGCUGUCCAGAGGCGGUGACAUGCCAUAUGCUAGAGCCAGCUAGGCAUCAGUACCAGUGCACCACUGUGCCAACCCUCUUUACUAGAUAGACAACUAUUAUCAGGACCAUGCCAUCACUACGGGACCAACACAGCUUGGCGAAGUAUCACAAGCUAAUGCUACACAAUUUUUCAUGUCAGAGGAUAUUUGGCACCCAAUUAGUGGAAGGACAAUUUCUUUCUCCACCAGCAGAUUUCGUUAGAUCACAGAGCACACUAGAGUGCAAAAGACAUCAAAUCAUAUAUUGAAAUGAACAAAUCCUCCAGAAAUGCAGGAGCUAUGGAGAUAGAUAGAAUCAAGUUUUAAAUCUCAUGCCCGAAGCUUUAGCAUUGUGCACAGCAUUGAGUGUUUUCUAUGAGAACAGGAAGAAGACGCAAACAGAUAUAUCAUUUACAUGCUCAGGAUUGGAGAACUGAGUGUAGUUGCAUAUAAUGGGAAGGUUUGCAACAUGAGAAGAUAAAGGAGACCACAUAGUGGGAGCAAAAAGAAUUCAGGAAGCACUGCUUCAACAUGCUCAAGCAAACCCAGAGGAGGUUUCACUGCAAGUGCCAGGAGCGCUUGAAGGCUGUCAGAAUGAUGAUAUCCGAUUGAUCUAUGCUCCCGUUAAUUCUAUGUAUUAUGGCUAGGAUGCUGUUGCUAAAACUCUGUUGACCUCUGGAAGUAUGCUUUUUUGCUUUGUGGGGUGUUGUCCACAAAAAAAAUACUACUCGGUAAAUAACCUAGCUUGUGUGGUCAACUUGUAUCCUGAACUAUCUUUCCAUUAUAAUGUAAUGGAAUCUAGGUUCGCACCUGUAUGGGGAAAAUGAUAAAAACUAGAACAUAAAAACUAUAAGAACAAGAAAAUAUGAGCAUUUUUUAAGGAAACCAAAAGGCUGUCGGUGAGUAUGGACCAAGAAAAGUGACGUUUUGACAUAAAGAACAAAGAGUACCUGACAGUGCUUUAUUCAAUAAUGAACCUCUGAUUAGUAGUGUGCCGGGAAUCUGUUCAAACACCUAGGGAAAGAAGGCAUGAUAAAUUGUUUGUGAAGCAAUGUCCAAAUGGGUAUUAGAUGAGUUGCAUACUGUAUGUUACAAACAUACCGAAAUACGAAAGGAUGUUCCUGUAAUAGCACUAUGCGGCUUUGUAGAGUUGUCUUCAACAGCACCAGGAAAGUCAUCACCAUGUAAUACUGCAGCCUGAGUCUGCUCAUCUGGUAUUGUAACCUAAACAAAUGUUUCACACAACUCUUAACAAGAGAUUGAUACAAUAAGACAGCAGAAAUAAAAUGACACAUCAGCAUGGGUCUCAGUCCUGAUGUAAGAAAAAGAAUAGGCAGAAGAUUAAUAAGAUUCUUACAUCAAUAGAAAAUGACACAGAAUCGGUUUUACAUGAUAGAUUAGAUGCACAGAAAAAGGUCUCAGCUGACUUCAGCACCUUGAAUGCACCACAUAUGUGUCGAUGACCCUGAAAAUUCAUCAUGUAAAGGACAUAUGUUGAAGCACAUAAGUUAAACAGCAAAAAUAGUACUCGAUGGAGGAAACAAAAAUUCCAAUAUAUAUACAGGUUGGCUCAGAAUGAGAAACUGAGGAGAGAGGAGACAGAUAUAUUUUUAUGUCAGGCUGACCAUCAGUUUUAAUUCAACCUUAUUACAACUUUACAAGGGCAAAAUAUGCAAGCCAGAGUGCCAGACCAAAAUAAUAAUGAUUCGAACAUCUAAGGCAUGCUAUUUACGAUGCAGAGAUCCAACCAUCACAAUGAUGAGGAGAACUUGAGAAGAUAGCUGCCUCAAACAUGAAGUAUUUCAUUGAAGAACAGUGCCCUUCUGAUAGGAACCACUAAUAUCAAAGGUAGAACAAAAUUGAACACACAAGCAUAUUGUUGGUGCAAAAGAGGCACCAAAUUAUGCAACUACAAGCAACAAAAUGCAUGAUUGAGGAAUAAAAGGUGACAUGAUGCCAACCUGAAGCAUGAAAGAAUGGUGAACUUUUCCUGGUAUGCUGGCUCUUAUAACCAUUUUUCUCGGAGCAAUGAAUGACCAUGCAAGACCCCAUCUAGCCGUUUGUCCUUGCACGAACUCAGUGGUUUUCACAACUGAUGCCCCAACUUCACGAACUUUUGAUGCUAAUAAUUUUAGAUUUGUUUUUCUGCCAACCAUCGAUGUAAACCACCUACAUAAAAUCCAGAGACAUCAUGAACAACAGAAAAACAUAUGCAUGUCAUGAUCAUUGUAGGAUAAGAUUUUAAUUACCUGAAGGAGUUUUUAAAGGAAACACUGUCUUCGAUUAUAUGUGUUAUAAAGGCCUGCUCACCACCAGGGCAAGCCAUCUCUUGAGCAGUUCCACCACACGAAGUUUUUGGAUUAAGACCAGCUUCCCCCAUACUCUCAAAGAAAGGUGGAUUGCACAUGCAGAAGUCAAAGCUCUCAUUAUCCUUCACAACACCCACAAGAAUAGGUGGUAUUGACCUCACCACAUUGUCCACUGCCUCUGAAGUGUUCUCCCUGAUUGGUUCUUCGUCAACUGUUUCAGAUUUGGAACAACAGGGUGCUUCAUUUGCAUUUCUUAUCUCAAUAAGACCUGCCAGAUGUGGAUUGCUCUCCACAUUCUUCUUAGCCCAUUCGAGAGCAACAUCAGUUACAUCUACAAACAAAAGGCCAACUGAGCGUAGGUGUUUCUAGUUUAGCAAAGUUACCAAAAUACCACUAAUUUAGUAGUCCAUGCUUCAAAAAACUUUUAAUUCACAGGAUCAAAAGCAUACCAGAUCCAACAAAGUUCCAACCCAGUAAAGAUGCCCCGAGGAGAGGGUAGAUGCAAUUGGCACCUGUGCCUAUGUCGAAACCUCUCACUCUCUCACUUGAGCUGGAUAUGGGUGGUAUGAGAUUGGACGAGAGAAGAUCCUCAAUCCAAUGGAUGUAGUUGGAUCUGUUUGGAACAGUAGGGCAAAGCUGUCCAUCUGGAAUCCACCUGACAGUAACAGCGAUAUAUAUCAUGCUCACAUAUUAAAUCAUGACAAUUAGCAAAGAACAAACAAGGACUGUGUGCGACAUACAAACUUCAAUAUUUUUUCAAAAUAAAGUGACUCGUAUUUUUACAAAUAUGAGAGCUGACAACUCUUUUCUCAAAGGAUAUCUAAUUGAACUUUGAUUUAACAAGUCUCCUAUAUCAAAUAAUUUACUUACUCUUGCAAAAAUCAUGUAUAAUAUAUAUUGAAGUGUCAAACAGAAACGAUAAGAGGCUCGAUUUUGCACGGGACGGCAAAUUAACAAGACAAUGACAUACAUAACAUAUGGUUUGCAAUGCCGCAGUUCAGCAUGACCAAAGUGAAGAGUAAGGACACCUAGUUAUGGCAUGUGAUGUGUACAUUAAGCAUGAUUCUUUAGAUUGAUGAACGGCUACUUUCUGCAGAAGUUCCCAAUGGCAUUGCUUAUGAUGCUAAGCGUUGCGAAAAUACAGCAAAGAACUUCAUUCCACAGCCCUUUUCGCACAUUGUUCCGUUUUUUCUCCUAUGCAAAGGAACUUCACGAUAUACUGUUAUGCAAGGCUAGAUACAAUGAUCUUUUGUAGAUCAUGAAUGUUUUAUUUUAGCAAACGACAGGUGUGUCAGAUUACACGUGACUGAAACUGGAUGCGCCCAACCCCAGUUAGCUGAAUUCAGGAGUGCCCUUGCAAUUCUCCAGCAGCACAACACCUCAUAGACGAAAUGACCACCUCAUCUAGUUCGAUACAGCCGAAGUGAAGCAACCGAGAAUGGAAUAGGGUUCAGGGGAAGAAAAGGCUGCACGCACCAGCUGAUCCCGUGGUCGUGGAGGAGGAGCACGCGCGUGAGCUCGCGCGUGGCGUCGAAGUCGGUGAAGUCGACGGACGCGCGGCCUCCUCCCGCGGGCACGGAGACGAAGGGGGCGAAGGACGGGUAGAGCGCCGCCAGCGCGGCGAAGUCCGGCGGCGCGGCGGCGUAGCGGUUCCGCGGGUGCAUCGUCCGCGGCGCCUCCGAGUCAUUUUCCCGCCGCCGCUUCUUCCCUCGGCCCAUCUGCGCAGGUGGGGUGCGGGCGGCGGGAAGCUAGGAGCUCGGGCGGAGGAGAGCGCAGGGCGGCCGGAGUGCGGGGAAGCAGAGGCGCGGCCAACGGCGACGCACAGCUUGCUCGGAACAGAGUGGCUCAUUUUGGGCUUUGGGCCGCUAUUAAUGAUCUAGCAGGAUGCGGCCUACCAAAGAUGGGCCGAAUGGCGAGGCGGCCUGUUAGCCCACGAGACUUCCCCUGGAUCGAAUCAAAGAUAUCCCCGUUUUCUCAACAAAAAACAAAUCAAAGAUAUCCCCGUGAAGCCGAAGAAGAACAAAACCUAGAUCGGAGCAAGCAUGUCGCCGCUUCGAUUUUCCGGGUCUCUCGUCGUCGGGAGGAGGCUCUCCUGGCACCGGAUUCGUGCAGGAUCAGCGUGGCUUAAACACCAAUCUGUACGCCUUACCUCUCUCUCAAAUUCUCAAUCAAUCAAUCAUGCGUCUGCGUGCGGCUAAUUGAUCCCUCCUCUCUCAGGUGCAGAGGAACAUUGCUGAUCAUGCGAGGGGAUUUGGCUCCUCUGGCAGGUAGGAGUGCAAGCUUAAUUUGAUUAACUCUCACCAUUAUGUUUAUGAUUUUUGGAAUGGACUUUUGGAAAUCGUCAGUAAUAUUUAGUAUGUAAGGUAGGAAAUUCAACUUCAUAUGCAUAGAGUAGAAAUCCUGUUAUUUUCUUCUUCUUUCUGCAAACCCAUCUUGAUCGGCAAGUUUUGCAACCUCAUGCUGAAACUAGUUUAUAUUCCCGAAACAUGGACUUAGGAUAUGUGUACCUCCUUCAAAUGGGUUCCCUUAGACACAAACGAAAAGGAAACAAAUGCCAGUGCAGAUACAAGAACAAUCAGGUUUGCUGCUGGCCUGCUCCAGCUCAUGCAAUGGUAUAUGGAAUUUUUGCCAGAUCAGGUUUUUGUUUAGCCCUUUAUGUUGUCAAAUCCUGAGCAAGAAACCAUACAAAACAGGCUCAUAUCAUAUCGGAUUGUGAUUGAUCCUGAGGUUUAUAAGACCAGCAUGUUAGCUAGACCCAAGGAUUUGCAAGCUGGUCAAAGAAACCCAAAUCUAGCUGCAAAAGGCAACACCGACUGUCGAGAAACAACAUGUACGGACUUAGACAGGAUGAAAAAUAUGACUAAUGCUUGUGUAUCUCCGGAAGUUAUGGUAUUGAUCGUGGGUUGUUCACUGUUUUGGACUAAACUGAUUAUUAAAAGCACAAGAUGCAUUUGGUUUUUAUGGUCACAAGGAUUGACAAAUACAGUUCAAAAUCAUGAAUCCCCUGCUAAUACAUGAAAGCCAGAGUUUGCUGUAUAUUCCGGGAAAAAAAUCUUUUCGACCAAGUUGUUGUCUAUUAUAUACUCCCUCCGUUCCAUAAUUCUUGUCGAAAUAUUACAUGUAUUUAGACACUUUUUAGGAAUAGAUACAUCCAUUUUUUGGAAAAUUUGAGACAAGAAUUAUGGAACGGAGGGAGUAGUAGAUUUUAAUGGUGCUUUUGUAACUAUGUCUGGUUAUAGUAUUGUUUAGAUUCUUCAAAUCAACAUUCAAGUAUAUCAUUGGAAUUUCAAACAAAACCUUAUAGCCUCAGUGCUAUCUGCCUUAUCAUUAUUUUGGGGCUCCCAGAAUUAUCUGAUUCAAAAACUGGAUCUUUGUCCCAAUCAGUCUCAUCUAGCUAGCAAUCAAAUGGUAUUUAACUCCUGUGAUAUGAGAACGCUACGUACGUUGGUAGUUGAGUUUACAUGUCUGAAGAGCUUCGCGGUGUUUUGCAAUUCUUACAAAACCCUGACACUCUGUAGCAGUUCACUAAGGCAGAUUCCAUUAUUACUAAACUAAAUUUUGAGUCAGCUGUCAGAGUGUCAGUGACAAUGUGAAAACAAUAGGAAGGGGAUGGGGCAAUGAUUCGUACAAAUAAAAGUUUGGUACAUGAGUGUACUAUUAGAUUUUUGCUGUUGCUUUCUGAUUUACGCAAGUUAUCGUUUGCAGUUUCCCGAAGGGUGGCAAGUUGUAUGCUAGUAUUCUGCCUGUGGGUGCCUUAUCUUCUGCCUUGGUUGGAGGAAUGUUGUAUCUCAAAAAAGAUGCAGAGGUACCAACAACAGGCAAGGAAAUUGAUCUGACGACAGAUCUUGUGCCCGGACUUCUUAUCUGUCAUCUUGUUAACCAUGAACCUUACCUUUGUCCUAGUCACAGCUUGCGGGCUAACCGAUGAGGAUGCAACGAGGGCUCACGAGCUAACUGAUGAGGAUCCAACGAAGGAGGCGGCGUUGAAGGCGAGGUUCGAGGAGUGGAUGAUCAAGUACGAACGCAGGUACAAGGACGAGGAGGAGAAGGCGCUGCGCUUCAGGGAAUUCAAGCGCCAUGUCAAGGACUCCGAGAAGGCCAACACGCUCGGCAGUGGGUUUUGCACCUUUGAACCAAAUGGCCUCGGUGAUCUAACCGAGGAAGAGGGGCUCAUGCGGAGAACUGGUUCCUAUGAUAUGACUGCGAGAAGAUAUAUUGCGAGGCAGCGUGAUAUCGUGUACCAGCGUGUUCUUGAAUGGUGGUAUCAGCUUUGAUGGCAUUAAGGGGGAGUACAUAGAACGAUGGCUGUUAGGGGAGUAUAUAGAACGAUGGCACUUGUUUUAAAGUUAACGAAUAGCCUAGUUAUGGCCCUAACUGUAGCAGGAACCUUUUGAUAAUGUUAAGCGGAUGUAAUGCGUUAAUCUUUAACGGACUUAUGGACUCCUGGUGUAUCAAUUUCCUAUGAAUUCCUGAUCUUUAUAGUAUUAUAAAGCCAAGACCUUGACAUUGAUUUUGUAUUGUGUUCUUGUUGUGCAAAAGCUGAGGUCUACUGAAAUUCAUCAGUUCAAAAUUGUGGGGAAAUCAACAAUAUUUAUACAGACCUGCAAAAAAAAUAUUUAUACAGCAUGCAUCCACCGAGUCACAAUUUUCUACAUGUCUUUUUUUUUACAGAGCCUUGGAUUGAAUCUGACCUUGAAAUUUUGUGGGAUGCUAGUCGUUGUAUGUUACGUCUAUGCCAGUUAUUUUGUUUCAAAACAAAUCCACGGCUUUUAAGAAGUACUGCGCUAUAUUUUGGCAAUUUAGUGAGCUCUGUAUGCUGUUACUGUGUACUCCAUAUUCGAACGACGUAAUAUGCUCCAUUCUAAAAGUCGAUGCCUGUUUUUGCACACCAGGAACACAUUUUAGGCUAAGCGAGGAGUAUCUGAGCUGUGUGCCUCGUUGAGUCCUUGUCCACAAACCAAACAUUUUAGGCAUCUUUGUGUUUGAGCAUUGGUUUCUUCAGGAAUUUCCGAUAUUGUUCCCAGCCAUUUGAAAAGAGUCAUUUGCUACUCUUGUUUAAUUAUUAUUCUUCCGUCCAACAAAAGAUGUCUCAAGUUUGUCAAAAUUUGGAUGUAUCUAGACAUGACUUAGUGUAUAGAUGCAUUCAAAUUUAAUCAAAAUUGAGACAUCUGUUGUAGGACGGAGGGAGUAAUAAAGCUAGCCAUGGUGGCCUUCCCUCAGAAAAAAAAAGUAUAUAUAUAUAUAUAUAUAUAUAUAGAAAAAUGAGUGGUUUACAACGAACACCUAUAUGAAUACCCCUUAGCAGGUGAGAGUAAUUUAGUCCAUAUGUUUGUAGUGGAUUCUUAGUUUUAGUCCAUAAGUUUGUCGUGCAUUCUUUUCCAAACUUGGUGAACUGAACGCUUUUAUGCAAACCAUCCAAAUCGUAUUUUAGAUCUCGAAUCCGCCAACGAGUUCGAUUUAAUUGGUCAAAGGGACGGAAUAAGAAUUAGGCCUUUCGUUGGGGCUGGAAUAAUACAGGGCCUGGCCGCCUUUUAUAGGGGCUCGAAUAAGAAUGGGCCUUCUUGGGCUCACGCCGAUCUAACCUCUAUCGAGAAUGACAAAAGAGAGUUCGCUCAAGUAAAAAAAGAUAAUGACAAAAGAGAAAUCGGAUAAGAGCAGAAACAAUUCCCCACGCAUAGUACUGUUCAUCCAGAUUCUCAAAAGUACUAGUGCUGUUCAUCCCCACAAAACAAAAGCAAACUGCGCAUCGGCAAUAUAAACAACUGCGCAGAGUUUCUUUAUUGGAAGGAUUAGCAAAAAGAUCUAGUACUAGUGCACGAGUAUAGAUCAGGAACAGACACAAAGACAGCAAGUCGAAAGUUUCUCAUAGCAGCAGCAGGAUACAUGGAAGGAAGACAAUAGAUAAAGAUUCCAGAGCCAGACGGAUGACACAGACGGACCCCUAUGGCCCGAAGCCCAACCUAAACCCAGAUCUCAUCAGACUCACUCACACAGACACGAUAGCGACACGCGAGACUCGGAUCUUAUUUUGUUUAACGACACGACGACGACGACGAUGAAGACGGAGACGGCGGCGAAGGAGACGCGUCAGAUCUAAGAGAGCUGGCCGCAGUCGGCGAUGACGACGGGCUUGGAGGUCUUGCCGCUGCCGGAUCCCACCUUCUCGAUGGCCUUGACAACGUCGAGCCCGUCGACGACCUGUCCAAAGACGACGUGCUUGCCGUCGAGCCAGGGGGUCUUGACGGUGCAGAUGAAGAACUGGGACCCGUUGGUGUUGGGCCCCGCGUUGGCCAUGGAGAGCACCCCGGGGCCCGUGUGCUUGUGGACGAACUUCUCGUCGGCGAACUUCUCGCCGUAGAUGGACUCGCCUCCGGUCCCGUUGCCCUUGGUGAAGUCGCCGCCCUGGCACAUGAAGUCGGUGAUGACGCGGUGGAAGCUGCUGCCCUUGUAGUGCAGCGGCUUGCCGCACUUGCCCACGCCCUUCUCGCCCGUGCACAGCGCGCGGAAGUUCUCCGCCGUGCGGGGGACCGUGUCCGCGUACAGCUCCAUCACGAUCCGCCCCGCCGGGGCGCCGCCCACCGACAUGUCGAAGAACACCUUCGGGUUCACCAUCUUCGGGAUCGCCGGCGCUAGGGUUUUGAGAUUUGGGGAUCUGGUUUCUGGGUUUCGCUUCGGGCUCUGCGAUCUGGAUGAGGAGACCGGGCGCCGGCUAAAUAGGCGGCCCGGUCCAAGACGACGACCAGAUCAACCGUCCGUUAAGGACGCGUGGCGCAAUAUCCUGCCGCAGGAGGUAACCAUGGGAGGUUAGGCGACGGGGGUUGGGGCAACCCUGGUUAAGUCUAGGGUUGGGUUCCCUGGUAGAUACAAGAAGCACGUGACCCUUUCCCACCCCGGUUCCGAUGACAGGUGGGGUCACGGGGUGGCUCUCUCUGCGGGGUACGGUGGGCGUGGGGACCGGUGGAGUGGGCCGCGGGUGUCAUUUGCCGUGGGUGGGAAGAGUUCUUCGUGCGAGAAGGUUCUGGAUCUCUGUAGGCGGUAACUGGGGCUGGGACCGUGGUUACUUGGGGGUUGGUUGGGCUGGGACUAGGGUUAGCGAGGAUAUUUUCCUUUUGGAAGUGAGCCUGGUCCACCAAGACCGGGUGGUGCGGGGGGGCAUGGAUGUGUGACACGCGGUGCAUGGACCAGGGUGCACGGGGGCGACGAGCGGACCAGGACGGACGCGGCGAGAAGGGGAUAUGCCGUGUGCCAGUGGGGCGAUAUUCUUCGCUGCAGAAGCACGCGGACUGCAUGUGCAAACUGUGGGCCGGGCCCGGGCCGAACGUGCAGCCCAACCCGAUCCGCGAUAACGGACGGGCAGAGUUCUUGGACAGUAAAAGAAACUCUGCCGUCGGUAGACCAAAGAUGGCCUAACUGUGAGGCUGCAACUUGCAAGAACGGAAGAAUCUCAAAAGGAAAAUUCGUAGUUGCAGAAUUUUGAGGAGGCAAACACGAUGGCUCCUGGUGACAGUGCUCUUUGAUUCUUUUUCCACCUUCUUUGUUCACCAUCUGUUGCGGAAUCUUGGAACGGUUUAACGUCGUUCUCUCGGUUCGAAUUUCGCCAUGACGGCUAUCUUACGUGAAUUCUGUCCAUACGUGCUGGAAAAGCAUGUUAGAAGUUCAUGCGGUACACCGUUGUCGCCCUUUUCAUGGCUUUUUUUUUCUAACCGAGUGUGAGAUGUUAAAGUAUAAACAUUUGAUUCCGAUUGUCAUCUUCGUCAGAUGGUGGUAGUAUGCUUCAAAAGAACGUGCAUCUCGAAUGCUGAAAAGGAACUGCCGUUUACGGCAUUAGUCGGCAAGCAUUGCGUGUGCGACUUCCCUAUGGCCCGAUCUGGUGGGAUGUCGCGCUUUCGGAGAAGAACGUCUAUGAUUCGUCACGUUGUGGUGUCUGACUUGGACAGUUUUCUAACAAAGUGAAUACCUAUGUGACGGAAAAGGUCAAAUCAAUACCCGUCGAAAUGUGAGUUCUUUCUUUCCGCGAGCGAUAGGAUGCAUUGAAUAUCAUCAUUUGGUCUCCACAUUUUUUAUGUUGCACGUAACAAUUUUUAAAAGAUAAGAUUGUUGCUGUAAAAUUUAGAGACCAUGCAAGUGACGAUCUUAUGGCAUCAAAACUACACGUGAAUGUACUCGUUUUGCUCUUCCUCUAUUUGUCCUAGAUUGCUUUCGAGUUUUGUUGCUGUAAUAAUUUAGAGGAAACAAGGUGACGAUCUCUAUGCAGUCGGUGUCACAACUACGCGUGAAUAUAUUCAUUCGGCUCUCCCUCUGCUCACCCUAGAUCGCUUUUGGAAUAUUGAGAUGUCUCCAUAUCGUCCUCUUGAUGCUCAUUCCGUCCAUACAUCGUGAAGAACACAUCGGGGUAGCAUCAACUAACGACGUUCGUAUCACAUGCUUUUUUCUUCUUGUGGUUUUAUUCGUGCAAGUCAUGAAAGUAUACACUUGUGAUUCCAAUCGUUAUCUUUGUCGGAAAAAGGUCGUACUCAUCCGAGCAUGAACGAUUGUUACCAUUUACGGUAUCAAUUGACACAAGCCGGUGAUCUUGUUGCCAUAUGUUUUGCACAAGCUGCUUAUUGGUAACCUCCUUCGAACAAAGUUGAAUGUAAAACUCGACUAUUCUUUGUAAAACACACCCAAUAAGACAAUGGAUACAACCGUUUUUUGGUUAAAUAAAUAGCAGUCUGAUGGUACAUGAAUAGAUAUGACUAAAGAAACAUUUGGCCGGUUAGUGUGAUGGUUGUACUACUGGGCCCCAGGUUCGACGUGCGGGGUUCAAGGAGUUUUCGUUUGGCAUUUGAAGGAUAUAAAGCUGAGCCGAUCGGAUCCACUGGGCCCACAGUGCAGUGAGCUCCUCAGGAGGUCGCGUUGUUGAUACGCAGCCCCCCUGACCGGCUCAGGCCCGGGUCAAGUGUCACGUGCGGUCUCCAGGUCUGCGGUGAACCCAACCCUCGUACAAACCUAACCACGGUCUCCCCAAACCCCACCGCCUAAACCCUUCCCUGGUUAGCGGUUACCUCCUCCCGCUGCCGCCACGCGUCCCAACCGGACGGCUGAGAUUCGCCCCCCUCUCCUCAUUUAACCGCGCCGCCGAUUAAAUCAAUCCGCACCUUUGUCUUCUCCGAUCCCGGCGAGCGAGCGAGAUGGCGGCGGCGGCGGCGGCUGGGAACCCUCGGGUGUUCUUGGAGGUGUCGAUCGGCGGGAAGCCGGAGCCUGGGCGGAUCGUGAUGGAGCUCUACGCGACCGACGCGCCGCGCACGGCGGAGAACUUCCGCGCGCUCUGCACGGGGGAGCGGGGCGUCGGGAAGCUCGGCAAGCCGCUGCACUACAAGGGGAGCCCGUUCCACCGCGUUAUCCCGCACUUCAUGUGCCAGGGCGGCGACUUCACCAGGGGCGACGGCACCGGCGGGGAGUCCGUCUACGGCGGCGCCAAGUUCCCCGACGAGCGGUUCGUCCACAAGCACUCCGGGCCCGGGGUCGUCUCCAUGGCGAAUUCAGGGGCCAACAGCAACGGGUCCCAGUUCUUCAUCUGCACCGAGGCUUGCCCCUGGCUCGACGGGAAGCACGUCGUGUUCGGGAAGGUUGUGGACGGGAUGGAGAUCGUUAAGGCGGUUGAGGAUGUUGGUGCUCGCUCCGGGACGCCUUCCAAGCCCGUCCUCAUCACCGACUGCGGCCAGCUCUCCUAGAUCCGUCAGUCGCCGCAGUACGUCAGGGUUCUUCGUGUCGUCUCGUCGUGUCCCUAAUUCUUGAGACUUUGUUUUCUUCCCGUACAAAGAGCUGAGCAGGAGCAAAUUACAGGAGUAUUACUUAUCCAAAGUGCUAGGGCGAUUAUCGUGUACUAGGGGUAGUAGUAAGGCAAUGGGACUUUUUUUACUAGACCCGAGAAACGUGAUUCACGGCUCUACCGAUGAUUAUUGACAUCAUCACGCUGCUGCAUAACUUUGCCCCGGUUUUUACCUGCUGAAGAAAAAGGACGGUGCUUUUUCACAAAUCAGAAUCUCUUUAAAUUUUCUGCCCAAUCACUCUCCGUGGAUCUGAUCUCAGAUGUGCUGAAGGGAACUGCGUGGACUCGUGACAGAUCGAGAUGUACUCUUAUUAUUCUGGUUUCUAAUCUCUAGAGAUGAGAUGUGAGGAGGAAGUUUCCUUUGGCCACUUGCCUGCUAUAUAGGCCAGGGCCAAGCAAAAUAUUCUCCUCUCAAAUCAAACCGCAGAAGUGCGAUUUAUUCGAUAUUCCGUUUCUGUUUACAGAUGAGCACAGACGGCACAGUCUUCACUGAUACUAUAUUCCUUCCUCACUCAACCGAAAAAUGGAUUCCCAGCAGAAGAGAAGAGCAAAGUUUGCAAAUGGGCAUCGAUUGAAAACGGAAUCCAUACAAAACAGUAUUGUUCCGGCCGAAUACAAUCCUCUCCUUUCUUUCCCCUGUAAUAAGGUCUGAACAUAAAAUCCCCGCUUUUGUCUGCCACCAUGGUUUUUUUUUACAUGCCUCGAAUUUGUUUGAGCCGAAAAUUUAUUUACACGAAAUGUUGUUGUUUAUUUUGAUCGGAGCAGCAGUGCAUGAGAGGGAUCAGGGAGGAGAGACAUCGUGGGGCCCGGCGGGCAGCGUCAGGCGGUGUUGGUGGGCGUGGUCGAGUAAAGAAAAAAGCCGUGGACGGCGGCCAGGCGCGGGGUUCGAGGCGCUGUUCCUUUUGUCGUUUGGCUCUUGAAUGAAAUUGCCGGCCGGUCAGUCAGUCAGUAAGGCCUGCGCGGUGGGGUCCACUCGGGCAGUAUCGCGUUGGUGGUACGCAGCCCAGGUUCGUCCGGGCCGGGGCCUGUCUGCAUGGGGAGUCGCGACGAGCCGUACGUACUUUCGGCUUUGGCCUGGCCCGAGAAAUCAUUGGCGCCUCCCUGUUAGGGUUUAAAAUACCAAAUCAAAGUUAUCCCCUGUCAGCGGUGUCUUGUGGAUUUUGUUUCCUAGCAAAAGACCCGAUAAUCCACAAACGAUUAAUUAUGAAAAUUCCAAACAAUUGACUUAGCACGAAAUCAAUUUAUUCACUCGACAUAACCAACGACCUCACAUUGAUGAGUACAUCCAUAUUUGUUGGAUGCAAUACUAUAUGACAAGCACACAACAACACUCGUCUAUGUUGAAACCAAAGACCUUUUGCGCUCCUCGUCGCCCGAUUGAUCGGUCAGAUUUGAGUGCACUCUGGGCUGCGGGCUAAGGACCUGACCGGGAGUGAUACCCUGGCCGUCUCGAGUUGGAGGUCGACAUGCUUACCGGCACGCUGAACCUGGCUCAACCCAACCCACGCCUGGUCCACUUGCACCCUCACGCCGUACACCUGGGUUAUGGAUUCGGACUGGAUAGCCCCGCCGACUGAUCUGCUGUAACGAAACUUGUAUUCCGUGCCGGCGACCGAGAUGGACACGUCACACACGUACGGGAGGGCCACGUCCAGUGCCCCCUCGAUGAGUGAAUAUGACAGCACACCCUGCGGGAGGAGGCCUCGCGGCAAGUUAUUUUGCACUAGAGCGUCGUAUGCUGUCGCGACAGCCAGCGUCGAGUUGGUUGUUGCGGAGGAGGUGGCAUGGAGGAUGGAAGCCAUGAAGACGACGAGGAGGAGAUGCUGGAUGGCCAUGGCUAUUGUUUCGCAAGGAUAGUAGUAACCCGAGCACAAGCUACAAAGUGUGUGUCUAUUUGAAUAUGAGUGAGACUAUGUAUGGAGUAGGAGACUUUUGACUGCUUAUAUAUAGGCAGCCAAGACAAUUCAUGCAAAAAAAUUUCAAAUUUAAAUUGCAUUAUUUAUUUUUUCCCUAAUUAAGCAUUCCAUAAACGUUCUCCGAGAUACGGUUAUAAUUUAUUUGUGUUUAAUUUUCCUAGUUAAGCAAUCCAUCAAAGCGUUGGUCAAUGUUAAAUGUGCCACCCAAUUUGACGCACCGGAUUAAGUUCCAUGCAUGUAUAUUAUGGAUCGACGAAAUGAGCUAGCCCCUGAAACUUUGCGUCGAGGACGAAGGAGUUGUUGGGCUUAGGCCAUCUUAGUACUACUUCCUACAUUUUACAAUACAACGUGUAUAGAUUUUUCUCAUUUAUUUCACAAUACAUCUCAUUUUUCUAUUGGUAUCCGCACCCAGCCAAUAAUCAGUCACAUCUAUUUAUUAUUAACCCAAUAUAACUGGUCAAGCACUAGAAACGAGAGUUGUCUUGGUCCAAGUGCAUAAAUCUAUAUGAGGUAUGCACUAUAUGAGGUAUAUUUUGAAAUAGAGGGAGUAAUAAAUAAAUCGAGUCUAGCUUAAAACCUGAUGGGCCAAGGAGGCGGCAGGCAAGCGAAUAUGUGCCCACAGCCCCGCAUAACCAUUGUCUGAUUUUUCUAUAAAAAAACAUUGUCUGAUUCUAAUCAAAAACAAAAACAUAAAUAUCUUCUGCUGUAGAACUACAUAGCAGCUAACCGUCGUACUCGGAAGAAGUUUCGAUCUCAGAGGGUUCUCGUUUUUAACAACUGAUCUUAGAUUAGGAGACAGAGUGAACCAGGGAGAAAUGUCUGCCAUCUAGAUAUUUGCUACUCCCUCCGUUUCAUAAUUCUUGUCGAAGUAUUACAUGUAUCUAGACAUUUUUUAUGAGUAGAUACAUCAAUUUUUAAACAAAUUUGAGACAAGAAUUAUGAAACGGAGGUAGUACCUUUCUUGAUAGAUUUGUGUGCACUCGGUGGUGUGUCUUGGUGAUCAAGAUUGGGGUUUUGGCUCAGUCCUCAUCAUGAUGUAGACUUCUCAUUCUACUUCAUGGAGUCAAUGGCUGUCACGUCCAAUCUUUUCGUGCUUUUAUUUUUUUCCUCGUUGAUUCAUCGAGAGAACAACGAUUUCACAAUUUGUUCUGCAAAAAAAGGUAUCAAUGACCAUGAUACAUUCAACGAUCUUAGGUCCCCACUGUCGCUCAUGCGGCCUUUUAAAACCUGCGAGGUUAGUACAGCUUGUCAAAAUAUAAUGCAUGUUCUGCAAUCUCGUCACUGAAUAAGUGGAAGAGGUCAAGAUGCAAAUGAUGAACCUAGAAAAGUUAACUUCGAAGUGGUAUGAAUCUAUGAUGGAGUUUUUAGUUUUAUCAAGAAUUUUCAUUGUUUGUGUUCGAUUUUUAGUUUUAGUUUUUAGUCUGAAUAGAUAUCACGAGUAAUAUUCAGCCGGGGAACUUUGCUCACAAAAAAACACCAAAGACAAUCUGUAUACUCCGUAUCAAUCGAAAAUUCGCGGCACCCGUACGAUCCUCGAUCGAACCGUUCUGCUGGGCUUUCGGCUUUUAGUAGACGAAUGGGGGCCUUUUCGUAGAGCAAACCGUAUGCCCCGCAAUGGCCCAUCAAAACGCGUGCAAUCAAUUGGGAUCAGGAUGGACUGGCCCAUCUUCCACCUCCAGCUCCGCCGUCCUCGAUGCAGCCGCUGGACCGGCCCGCCUAAAACAACGCAACAGUUCGUGUCCGACCUGACUUUUUUUUUCCGAAUGGUUAAGUCUGUGGUCUAUUUCUUACCCGUGAUGCCUUGUGGAUUUUGUGUGUGUUAAGCUUUCCUAAUAAAAUCGCCCCAUAAUCUAAUAUACUACUCUUCCCUCCAAUCAUAAAUUGUUGUCGAAAUAUUACAUGUAUAUAAACAGUUUUUAAGAAUAGAUACAUCCAUGUUUAGACAAAUUUGAGGCAAAAAACCAUUUAUUCACUCUAAAUAACCAACGGUCUCACAUGAUUGUUGGAUACAAUAUAUAACAAGCAUGCAACACACUCAUCUAUCCUGAACCAAAAGACCGUGCUAGGUUCCGGCCCAAACGCCGAUCGAUCGGUCAAACCCUCAGUUGCAUCUGGGGCUCUGCGUGAAGGCGCUGACCGGGAAUGAUAGCGUGGACGUCUCGAGAUGGAGGGUCAGCUGGUCGCCGACACGCUGGACUUGGUUGAACCCAAGCCACGCGAACUCCACCUGCACCCUCACGCCGUACGCUUUGCUUAUGGAUCCGGACUGGAUAGUUCCGCCGACGGUUUUGUCGUACCGAAACCUGUAUUGCUUGCCAGCGACCGCGACGGAGAAUUCGCACACGUUCAGCAAGGUCAUGGCCAGAUCGCCCCCACGGAGCGAAUAUGACUGCACCCCCUGUGGGAGGAGGCCCCGGGGCAAGUUGUUUUGCUCUAGAACGUCGUAAGCUGUUGCGGCAGCUAGUGUCGAUUUGGUUGUUGCGGAGGAGGCGGCAUGGAGGAUGGAUGCCACGAAGACGAUGACAAGGAGAUGCUGGAUGGCCAUGGCUGUGUUACGGCACACAAAGUGUAUAUGUAUAUGAAUAUGAUCUAUGAGAUUGUGAAUGGAGGAGGAGACCUUGGGUGCUUAUAUAUAGGCAGCCAAGACAAGUCGUCAUAGAAGGAAAUCAUAUUUUAUUUGCAUUUAUUUUUCCCUAAUUAACAUUGCAUAAAAGUUGGUCAAAACAGGGUAAACGUAGCACCAAUUGAAUCUAGACUUUAUUUGUGUUUCCUGUCCCUGAUUAAGCGUCCCAUAAAAACGUUGGUCAAAAUAGAUUAAAUGUGCCACGCACCAGGAGGAAAAAUUGGUUCAUUUGAGGGCUCGAUCGUGUCAUGGUGAACUUGUGAUCUACUCCCUCCGAUUGUUUGGCGGGAAAAAUAACGAAACUCUAAGGCAGAGAGUGUAUUUUCUCAACACUCCAGGGAAAUGAAAAGGUGCGGGUGUGCCAGUGUACUAAUGUACACAAAUAAAGAAAGACAAAGUAGGAAAACAUGUAUUUUAUUAAUCUCAUGUAGAGAAAUGAAAUUACAUGUUCCCUUAUGAAAAGUGCGCUCCGUGUGGCCUGCUAGCAUGGCCAACAUGACAUGGGCGAUUGUCGUCUCUUGGUUCACAGGGCCUCGGAAAGCUCCCGCUUAAUUACGUCCGCAAGUCAAGCCUGCAGACCACCUCCCAUUAAGCUGCUGCAAUGGUGUCGUCUUCAAGUCUUGUCUUCUUGUGCUUGGUGCAGAAGAUGGUGGUGAUGAAGAGGAAGAGAGGGGUGGUACGACCCCGCUCCGUCGAUGCUAAGCCACGACCGUUCGACCGUGCAGGUGCCGAUCGGCGUGCUACGCCGUCUUGUCGAUGUACGAUGAAGGGUCUAGCUGACACGCGCCUUGUCAGCUAGACAUGUUGAUGAAGUGGCCUUCACCUCGUCGGUACCCAGCCUGUAAAAUGUCCGCCUCGUCAGACCGGACAGGAUGUCUUGCCUUCUCCUAGCGUCGGUGCCCAGCAAGAGCAUGUGAUGUGGUGAUGUACUUCAUCGGUACGCGGACAUGUCGGUGGAGUGGCUUCACCUCACCGGUGCUUAGUCGGUGUUGGAGAAGAUGCUUGGAUGUCGGAAUGCCAUCGGCAAUGCGGAUGAGGGAGUAGACUUGAUGUUGAAGACGAUGAUGUAGAUGCUAUCUGAGGUGCAAGAGACCUCGUCAGGAUUUGGUGAAGGAAGCACCCAAGCGGGCGCCUGUAUGGCAGUGUCUCGACGGACACCACGUAGAAGGUCGCCACGGGCGACGAUGUACUGCAAGUUGUUGAAGAAUGCGCCAAGAUAGAAGCCCUGUUUGGUGGUGUCUCAGCAGACACCGCGUAGAAGGCCGCCAUGAGUGGUGGCGUACCGAUGCCAAGUUGGUGAAGAGUGUGCCAAGCCAGGCGCCGUGUAUGUGGUGUCUCAGCGGACACCACGUAGAAGGCCGCCACGAGCGGCACGAUGCUAACCUGUAAAGGAUACGCCAAGGGUGGCGCCCUGUAUGGGGGUGUCUCGACGAACACCGAGUAGAAGGCCGCCACGAGCCGUGGGUGUCUUAGCAUGGUGAAAAGUGCGCCGAAGCGGGUGCCCUCAGCUGGGGUAUCUCAGCGACACCACGUAGAAGGCCGCCACGAGCGGCACCGUCUUGCACGACACCGGGUCGGUGAAGGAUGCGCCAAGACAGGCGCCCUAUGUGUCGGUGUCUUGACGAACACCAAGUAGAAAGCCACCAUGCGCGGCGGCAGCACGACACUGGGUCGGUGAAGGAAGCGCCAAGACGGCUGGCGCCCUGUGUGGCGGUGUCUCAGUGGACACCAAGUAGAAGGCUGCCGCUAACGACGAAGUUUGACAGUUGAAGGAGACCUCCGGGCCAACGGGCGCCUCCCGCUGACUCGAACAACCUGUUUGUGAUGACGGCGGCGUUCAAGUGAACGCCUCUCGUGCUAAGACAACCUGUGCACCAGCUCAUCCUGUUCAUCGAGGUAGCGCUCCGCGUGGAACGGGCACCAUGUAGACGUCGCCCACAUCCGCACCAUCACGCACGAUGGCGUUCAGAUGGACGUCGACAGGUUGUUGAUGAAGAUGGCGCCCGCCCGAAUGUGGUACACGGCCCAGACGGCAAUCAUGAGAUUGCUAAGGUCCAUGGCAUCUGCGCAGACGAGAAAGAGAGAAAGAUAGAGUGAUCUUUACAUACCUUGGAGGCUUGGACGAGCACGUGUCAUUGUUGGCGUGGCCGCGGUCAAGGCGGCCACACAGCCUUGAUGUCCCUGGACCUGCUCGCCUUGGGGGCGCCAUGAACCUGUUCGUCUUGGCAUUGGAACCUGUCUUGCUCGAUGGUUAAUUACCUGUACUCCUGUUCUGCAUAUGUGGCUUGACGCCGGCGCAGCGAGAUGCUGCCCUCCGUCUUGGUCCUGUGAUCACCUCGAUGAACCCGUCCUUCUUUCAUGUGCAUUGGGGUGUGCGGCGUGUGCCGCCGUCUUGAGCGCGCGAGGCACGCUGCCCCUGCGUUUUGCCUCCUCGGUCGAUCCCCGUUCGCCUUUGUACAUGCAGUCAGCCAGCAAUCGGCGACAGGCGAGACGGCAUGGCUUCGAUGCUACCGCCAGGCGCUGGUGCUCGGCCCGCGUCAGUUUCCCUUUCUGCCCUGGGUCUCCUUGUGCGUGCGUCUGGCGCGACUACUGCGCUGCCUUCAAGUGCCGCUAGGGCCUCCCCCUUAGCCUUGACCUGGCUUGUUAUUUAUAUGCAACAGGCAACGACCUGGAGAGGCCUUGCGUGAUGCAUGGCCUCCUGAUUUUCAGAUUCCAUCUGUUUGGAUCAGACGAGAUAUGCUAGCUAGCUCUUUAUUUAAACUAGCAGAAUGGUCCGUGCGUUGCAAUGGGAAGACAAGAAAAUCCAGUCAUGUAUGGAAAGACAUAUCCUUGUUUCCAUCGUUCUGUACAUGAUCUUCAACUACAACACCAAUUUCUUGAUUGAUAUACUCCCUCGAUUUCACAAAUGUUGACAUAUUUUGUUUCGUUAAGAUAAGGUUUUGACCAUUGAUAACUCGCGUUGCAACGGAGAGAUAAACAUCAUAUAUCACUUAAUAAAAAUAAUGACAAACAGUGACGUUGCUCAUUGUUGAUUAGCUUGUAUGCGUGGGGUGGUCAUUUUGCUUGUAUCGCUGGUGUCCCCAGCUGAAUCUCGUCGCUGGCUUUCUAAUAAAGCUAGGCUGAAAAGCAACACGACGAGGUGGCGGAGCUGACAUGGAAGAAGGUCAACAUCUUCUGGCAGGGCUUGCGCAGAUGCCUGGCGCUCAGUACCCGCCACGGUCGUUGAUGCGCACCGUUGGGAACAGACACCCAAGGCGGUGGUCGCCUGGUCGGCGAGGCGGGCACACGCUCGUGGUCGCGCCCGGCCAUAACAGCACGCUGCUCAUGCUGGAGCCCUGCGGCGACGACGACCAACAACUCCACAUCACUGGACCUGGACCACGGCUCGCCGGAGGAGACGGAGAACACGAGCUUUGGCGGCGGCAGAGGGAGUAGAGGGAAGAGCGUGGCGGCGGCGGCGCGCUGGAGAUAACGGCGGCGGAGGAAGUUGCGGGAACCGUUGAGAUCGGAGGGUUCAGACUUCAAACAUGGAUCGGGGAUUCAGGGACAGAUUUGUUUGGUCUGGGAACCGGGUUUUUCCGUGGGUUGGGGGCGGGGGAGGAAGAGGGUCGAGCGCUGGGAAGGAGAGGGCCGCGAGGCGGGGGAGAGCGGCGGCGGCGGUGGCAUGACGGCGGGGGAGGAAGAAGAGUUCGGGGGCGGGGGCCGCGUGCGAGGACUCUCCGGUGCGAGAGGGUUGGGCGGAAACGGCCCAGUACGUACGGUGACGGUACGUACGAUGACGGUCAUACCAUCACCACCAAUUCCAAUUUAAUAUAUUGAUAUAAACUCACACCAACUCCAAUUUAAUAUAUUGAUAUAGACUUUAAACCAUCGUUAUCUUUUCCUCUGUGCUUAUCCGGCCUCGUAUGUAUACGAGACGACCUGGCCCAUUGCGUAGCUAGAGGUGGAUGCUUGUACUAAUCCAGACCUGAUCGAUCAAGCAUGUCCAACCUGCCUAGCUUGAGUAUACGUACACGUAUACGUAUACUAGUGUACGCAUGUGUGCUCGGCUGCCUUCCAGUCGCUACAUGCAUGUAGCUGACAUUUUCUUCUUCUAAGUGGUGUAUUGAUUCCGCGACGAAUUUUGGUACAAAAUCUUGUCAAACACCGAUCCAAAAUUAUUGUCGAAAUAUUGCAUGCAUCUAGACGCAUUUUAAGAAUAGAUGCAUUCAUAUUUUGACAAAUUUAAGUUAAGAAUUUAGAAUCAGAGGGAGUACCUUCCAGUCUAGAAUUUGACCAUGCAUAUAUGCAUGUUACGGAUUGACAAAACGAGUCCCUGAAAACUUCACGUCCAGGACACGAAUUGGAAGAGUUGAAUUGGGACCAAGAAAUAUGCAUGCAUUGUUCAUUGACGAUUUUACUAAUUUGUAUAACAGACCAGAGAAUUUGAUAUUUACAAUCUAAAACUUGCCAAGAUGUCCAAAUAUAUACCGCUCGAAAUUUCCAGCUUUCAAAUAUGCUCGCCAAAUUUUGCAUUGCGUAUGGUAACCACUAUAAUGACCAUUCGUUGACCGUUGCUGCAGUUUAAUUUGCCCCUAUCUAUUGUGUUAAUUUUCCCUCUGCAACAUUCAUAUUUCACAAAACGCAGGUUUCAUUCCAAGUUUGUGACAUGAAGGUAAUACACAGAAAGUUUGGAAUAAGUUUCGGGAGAAAAAAGCAAACAAUAUAAUUUCAGACAAGAAAACUGAAUACUCUAGCAGCACUUCCGGGGAAGAGCUAGCCGUUGAGAGAAAACACAUAUGCAUCGUUUCUUUGUGGAUUCAAUAAAAGACGAACGAAUACACUGGGCAUUUGCGUCCUUAAUUAUGUGGUUAGUGAGAGCGAAAUCUUUACAGACAAUCUGAUUUUUAGAGGUUCGAAAUCACGGGAUCAGGUUGCCUUAGCGACCGCGGCCAGUACACCUGGCAUUAUUCAUUUUAAUUUCUGCAUUAUUCAUUAAUACGCUCUUGACUCGUGAAACAAAAAAAAGUUUGAUAUAAGACUAAACGUAUAAGCAUUAUUCAUUUCUUUAAAACUUGCACCUGGUUUUUAGAUGAGGAAUUUUUACGGUACCCCUAUACUGCCAAGUAGUGGAAAGCAGUAUAUAAAUCUGCACUGUUGAUUUGAUAAGGGUAGAAUUAAUGAUAAAUGAUUUUUCCUUUUUUACGUGAAUAGACAUUUCUAAUGGGCUGAAGCCCAUUUACUCUCAUCUUCUAGCUCUGUACGAUUUGACGUGAAAAUCAUCUACUCCUAUGUCUUUUUUUUAGGGCAACAGAACAACCUGGCUAGGUAUACAAAGACCAUCCGACGGAUGAGAAAACCAAACCCUACCACCAACAUCAAGCGAUGAGGUACUUCUGGCUAGCUUAUGAGCAUCCAUAUUGGAGCUUCUACUCUCAUGACGAAAACAACACACACAGUGUAAGACUUAGAAAUAUGUUGGAUCUCUCUAGUAAUUUGAACAAAAGAAUUCAAGCUUCGACCAUUAAUAGCCGUGACCACCUCCUGGCAGUCAGAACCAAUCAUCAGGCGACGAGCUCACAAAUCCGCGUCUCUUCGUUUUCUCCAUCUCCCCGUUCAGGAGAAGCCAUGAGACCGGCGGCGAGGUUCCCGUGACUGAUGGUGGCUCCCCCCACCUCCCCCUCUCUGCUUUUCCCGGCCUGACAGAGAAAAGACGAGGCAACCAUUAGAGGCCAUCUGAAACUGGGGUUGAUCUGAGGUGAGAUAGAGGGAGCUCGGGGGUGGCAAAAAUCGGACGAGAAUAGCGAAGCAAGGCCGUGGAUGGUCUUAGCUCGGGAACUUGACCACCCAAAAGGGAGAUGAAAGACGAUUCUUCCCUGCCUGUCUACCGGACUUGGAGAAGACGACGUCUUUUCCGUCAAGGAUAGUGGGCCGCGCGGGUCGUGCGGGACCAAGACGUGGGCUUAAUUAGAAGAAUACCACCUCUAUACUACUCUAUUUAGCCCAACAUUAUCUGUUUAACCCAAUAGUAUAUCAUUACGUGGACCGUUAGAUCUUCAACAAUAAACGGCCCGUAUUGAUUACGGGGUAGUACCAUGGCCGUAUAGUGGCAGGUGCAAGGUGUGCACCUGUUCAGGGCCACCAAAAAUUAGGGGCUUCCAAAUGUAGUAGUACUACUAAUUUGCUAUAUAUGCUUAAUUAACAUUAAAUUUUGGGCUCAUUAAAUAGAAAAAGAAAAUGCCUCAUGCGAAGAGGGGCAAAGGGAAGAUGGCCGGCUUCUCUGCUUCUCCUCUACUAGUCCAUCAGAUCACACCACGAUUCGGCCACGAGUUGUAGCUUUUUCGGUAGAACUUGAGUCCAGAGUUCAGCUUAUUUGCUUUGUUACAACCUUUAGUUUUUCUUUUUCUUUUUGCACAAAUUCACAACCUUUAUUAUUUUAGGAUAAAGAUUUGAUAUUGUUCUAUUUAGACAGAGAUGCAAGAAUUUAUGGAUCUGGGUGUAACCAUUUGAAAAUGGUAGCAUGGAAGUUUUCCAGCCGGUUUAGAGAAAUGUGCUUAGAAUGGCUUUUAAUAUUGAUGUAUGUGCGCAUCAAACGAUGCAAAGACCGGAUGCCAUUCUACUUUUCGAAAAAUUAUAUUGCAAACUUUGGUUAUGUAACUUUUUUCUUUAUUUCGGGGCCACAUUUAACAUUUCGCACCGGGCCCCGAAUUUCUAGUUACGGCCCUGCGGGUUACCAUAAAACUGCUCUUAGAUUCAGGCGCGGCUAGUGUUUUCGUCGUCAAGGAAAGACGAAGGAAUUAAAGCACGAAGCAUGACGAAAAUACCAAACGGCGCCCGUGCAGGUUGGCCUGGUUUCAAUCCAGAUAGCCCACCGAAAUGUAUGAACAGACGGCCCAAUCGUAUAAGUCCGGUCUACCAGGUGAGGAAACGGUGGCCCAGGUUUCGUGUGGCCCAGGUCUUUUACUGGCCCUCUUGUGCCAAUCGUCAUCUGAUCCUGGACUGCAUAGUGGUCCAUUUUUUUUUUUUGUCCACUCAAAAAAGAAAACAUAGCGGUCCAUUUUUUAUUAGGAUGACAUGGACCCGAAUAUCAUCUAUUCAUGGAACAUGGGCCGAGCCAUUCAAUAGUCGUCCAUAGGCGGCAGCCCACUUGUUCCAAAAUCAGGGGCCGAACAAUUGUGCCAGCCCACUUGUUCCAAAAUUAAGGGGUCAGACGCAAUCCUCCGGGACCAGCUCCGAUCACACACCACAUGGGCCCAGUAUAUUGAGCAGAAAAGUACACGGACAUGGGGCGAAAAGUAGAAACACGACGUUUUUAGCCUGCUUUCCACUACUCUCACUGGUCUAAAUGUACCGCCGGUCGUUUCGGAAGAGACGGCCUCGCUUAGGCCUAAACGGCAUUACGCAUACGUGCUGAAUGGCCUCUGCCAUGCAUCGUGGAAGACUCUGCCAUCACUCUUUUGAUAUUUGCUCAUUUCCUUUGUACUCGCUGGUAUGCUGGUUUUUAUACCCGUGGGCCGUGGUGUCUUGUGAUUUUCUUUUUAAAGUGGGUCGUGUAUUAAGAAAUAAUGUUCGGAUUAGAAUCUCGCAUGACCUGGCAUAUCACGUAGGACGGCAAAGAGUCUUGCAAAACACCACCACACCACACACUACGACCCCAACUAACUAACCCAAGAGCAACUUCAUUGUCAAUUCUAUUAAUUUUCCGAAAAGCAAUCCCUGAAUUCCAAGGCCUUGUGAUUUUUUUUUUGUGCUAAGCUUUCCUAACUAAUAAAACACUACAUAAACUUUUGAUAAUUAUUCAGGAAAUUUUCAAGCAGCCAGUUAGUAUAAAAUCAAUUUAUUCGACUUAACCAAGGGGCUGGCAUGAACACAUGGUUGUUGGAUACAUAUAUAUAUAGUAAGCAUAUUUGCAAUACACACACAUGUAUCUUGAACCAGAAGAUCGUGCGAGCUUCCCGUCGCUGACUGAUCAGUCGGACCCUCCGUUGCAUCUGCGGCUCUGUGCGAAGGAGCUGGCCGGAAAUGAUAAUGUGGUCCCCUCGAGUUGGAUCUUGAGCAGGUCACCGGCACGCUGAGCCUGGCUGAACUCAAGCCACGCAGACUCCACCUGCACCCUCGACGUUCCUGGCAUACCGAAACUUAUAUUGCUUGCCGGCGACCGAGACGGAGAAGUCGUACUACGCGUUGGCAAUGUCACUACCAGUUGGAAUCCACGGAGCUCGUACGACUGCACCCCCUGCAGGAGGAGGCCCCGCGGCAAGUUAACUCGAUCCAGGAGGUCGUAUACUGUUUCGUCAGCGGGUAGCUAGCGUCGAGUUGGUUGUUGCGGAGGUGGCGGCACAGAGGAUGGAAGCCACGAAGAUGACGACAAGGAGAUGCUGGGUGGCCAUGGCUAUAGGUGUAUAUGAAUACGAGGGACGUGAUUGUGGAUGAAGCUAUGCAGACCUUGACCAUGUUUAUAUGGGCAGCAAAGAAAUUAAAGGGUCAUAAGAAGAAAUCAAAUUUAAUUGCGUUAAUAUUUCCUAAUUAAUAUUCCAUCAAGUCGCUCGUCGAUUAGGAUAAUUGUAAUUUUUAUUUAAUUUUUGUCUAAUUAAGCCGCGUUCCAUCUCUAUCUCUAUAUUUUAUAUCUAUAUUUAUAUCUGUAUCUAUCUUAUAAAGGGACCAACUUGGAAGGAAAAUAAAAUCUCAGCCGGCCAUACAUGUUAAUCGGACGGCUCGGGGUCUUUCGUUCUCCCCUCCCCCCGAAAGAUAAUCACACCACUCCUUCCAUUUCUGUCCACACACCCUCUACUUGGUUAUGCCCCUGGCAGUGUGGUGCUCGUGUAUCGCCCGCGAGUGACGCCUCAACACCAGGCGCUAUGCCCCUGUGCUCUACUCUUUGGCAACCUGGAGCCGCCGUUCAUGCCCCCGCGCGGCACCGCUGCCCCUGUCGAGCGCCGCCAUCGCCUGCUGCUGCUGCUGCUGCUGUUAACUGUUCCCCCGCCGGACGCCGACGCGAGCGCGAUGUGGUUACAGCGCUCUGCAUCGGGUUCGGCGCCGGCGCCCGCGAAGACAGCAACAGCAGCAGCGAGGCCCCGCAUGAACAGAAGCCUUCGAACCCCUAUUUACGCGGAGCUGGCCGAGCAGCAGCAGGCGCGGGUGGAGCUCGGCCGUGCGCACGCGGCAGGCCGACGCUGCCUUGCUCGAGGUGAGGUGCCCGUGGGCACGGAUCCGGAGAGCGGAUUCCCAGCUAGCAUGGGUCUUGCCGCCGGCCGAUGUUGGAAGUCGAUUUACAUCCGGCUCUCUUGAGCUGGUGUUUGCUGCCUGCGGUCCUUCAACGCCUCUUGGCAAGGGGCUCCUCCGGCUCCAUGGCUUGGCUUCAACGGCGACGGUGAGAUGUCGGCCUCUGCUGUCCACAAGCUUCUGGCUUGGGGAGGUCCUGCAGGGUCUUCUUUGUGUUUCUUUUUUUCUCAGGCUCCUCUCGGUAAGAUGGUGGCUGGUUUCCUUACUCCUAUAAAUAAAUACAGGUACUGCUUUCCAGAAAAAAAGAAGAUGGUGACGACGACGGAGAAGCAGGAGCCGGCAAAGACGACGGCGACAGCGCAGGGCUAGAGCCCGAGGCAUGCAGCGGCUCGCGGCGCUAUAAAAUUAACCAAAAUCCAUCGCCGGCGCCAGUUAACAAUUAACCCAUCCAUCAUGCAUACCAUCAAGAUGGUAAAGAGCUGGCUAGACUAGAUCACUAGUUUUGCGCUAAUUAACUCAAAUUUUUCGAAGCUUGACCGUCUUUAUGUUGAUCAAAAUAUGAAACGUCUACAAUUAUCAAAUCAUUACCAACAUAUUGACCAUAAAAAUCUCCAUGAUUUAGUAUGUCAUUUUACAAAAAAAAAGAGAGCACAGAGUAUGAAGCCAUGGUGGAUAACUAGACCUUCUUCGAAACGAAGCGAUCCAAGUGCAAGCCGCAAAGGCCUACAAUAAUUGUUCCAAGCUUGACCGUCUUUAUAUUGAUCAAAAUACACGAAACGUUUACAUAAUCGUUUGUAUGGUUACAUUUUGGGCUCCCUGUUACAUUUAUCGAUAAUCGUUUGUAUGGUUACAAUAAAAAAAACAUCUAUAAUUAUCAAAUCAUUACCAACAUAUUGACCAUAAAAAUCUCCAUGAUUUAAUAUGUCAUUAACAAAAAGAGAGAGCACAAAGUAUGAUAGUAAUCGAUGCAGAAGAGCGUGUCGUCGUGCACGUCCCGUGCCACCAAGAAGUACAUGACCCCGUUGACGACGACCGGGCAAGGGCUGUAACAGCAAACAGGUGCCGGAGGCGAGUAAACACUGUGCAUGUGUACCCAUUGUUGAGGCAGACCACCUUGUAUGCGCGGGACGUGACGGCACGACCGAAGCCGAAGAUGUAGUGGUUUUCCCAAUCGAUAUCCCACCGGUGCGGUUGUUUUGGGCAGUCGGCGACUACCUUCCCGGUGACCAUGUCGACGACAUGGUAAAUACCAAAACCAUGGUUGACGCAGAUUAAGUCGCCGUCGCUGGUGGACGCCAUCUCAGCUCAGAGAAACCUGCCCCCUUGGUCGUCCUCCUGACGUGGCCGUCCAUGUCCAUCAGCUGCAGGUCGUGGACAGUGCCGCCGGAAUUCGGCCGGACAAAGCCGGCGGCGUGGCGAGACCUGUGCUCGGCGGCGAAGGCCGGGUCGGAGAUGAGGGCGCGCCACUCAUUGCACACGCAGCGGAACCGGCACACGGACCACACCGGCAGCCUCGAAAGGAUGUCCAAGAUGAGGUCGUUUGGCAAUGUCGCGGCGGCGGCUGGGGACCGGUGCGGCGUCAUGGGCGGCGGUCUGAUCUGGCGGCGGCGACGCCAAGGAAGGCUGAGGAUUUCAGAUUGAGAGUCUGCCCAUCUCCUUAAUUGCGAUAGUUUACUUAUCUUGGAUCGGAACUCUAGUACGUGUGGAUCCAGGCUUUCUGCUGGGCCGUCGUUGGGUAUUGGGCCCAAGAGCCAGCAGGAAAAAGAGAACGUGUGGGUUGGGCGUCCUCUGCUAGCCCACUUAAGUGUCCACGUUCCUUAAAAAAGAGUCCUCUGUCGAGCCCAAGUUUAAUACUCACUCCAUUCUCAAAACAAGACAUCUUAGUUUUCUGCUAAGUUCCUCUAAAAAAAAUAAAAAAAUUCUGCUAAGUAAAAUUGUUCCAAGCUUGACCAUACACAAUCAUCUUCUUGUUGGUUCCUAAAAAAGAAAACUUAGGCGACGAAGCUUGACCGUAUUCGUUAAUAAAAAAUAUGAAACAUUUACAAUAUACCAAAUCAAUACCAAUAUAUUGACCAUGAAAAUCUCCAUGAUCUAGCACACCAUCAAUCAGAAAAAACACACACAUAAAAGUCUGAUAUUGACCGACUUGACGCAACCAUGAUGGACAACUACAUCUUCUUAGAGACAAAGCGAUCCAACUGCAAGCUGCAAAGGCCUAUCAUGCUAGUGAGCUUAUCCAAUUUCCUUAGAGUGGUACAUUCAUUGGACUGAGGAUGAUGCACUUGGAGCAGCUCUCCUUGUUUGAGAUGGGUGCAAUAGAUGGUCAAUCUAUUUGCAUCAUGUGUCAUCCUUAAAGGCACAUAACGACACGUGGUUGGGGCCAUCGGGAUCGUGUAUGCUUUGAUCCAAACAUUCUUGUCAGAAUCAAUUAGGAGCCAUAUGUUGGUGUAAUGAUCAUCAACCAUGUGUUUGUCACAUUGGACCAUGCAUAAGGCAUUGUUGAGCUCUGUUAUGCGGAGGUCCCACGUCGUGUUCCACCUCAACUCUCGGCCAUCUGUUCUUGGCGGCGGGCCUUUGAUUGCCUCCUUCCACUCCUCGCUCUCAAGGUCGAACAAAGCAACACGUCGUCGUGCUCCGUGACGGCCCGACCGAAGCCGAAGAUGUUGUAACGUGCCCACCGGUGGUGUGGUUCCACAUGUAGUUUCGGGCACUCCGCCGCUACGUUCCUGGUGACCAGGUCGACGACACGGCAGGAGGCGUCGGGGUUUUUGAAAGAAUCGGCGAUGCAGAUCAGGUCACCCACGCUAGGGGAAAUCAGCCCAGAGCCACCGGCCCCCUUGAUCGUCCUCAUGACGUUGCCUUCCAUGUCCAGCAUCUGCAGGUCCUGGACAAUGCCGCUGGAAUAAUUCCCCCGGAGAUGGGUGGCGACAACGUAGGGCUCGGCGGCGUGGCGAGACCCGUGCUCGGCGGCGAAGGCCGGGUCGGCGAUCAGGACGCGCCACUCCUUGCUCACGCACCGGAACUGGCACACGGACCACGCCGGCGCCCUCGAAAGGAUGUCGAUGAUGAGGUCGUUUGGCAAUGUCGCAGCGGCGGCGGCCAUGGCGCCUUUAUUGGCUUGCGCAGGCGUGCUGGUUGAGGCUUGAGAGCGACGGAGACGCCGCCGGGGUUCAGUCGUCCGGCGCGGCUCCAUGGACGGCGGUCUUCUUGAUCUGAUAUGAUGGCGACGGCGCCCUGAGCUGAGGGUUUCUCAGAGUCUGCCGAUGGGGAGGCUAAUUGCGAUACUUUUAUUUAUCGGAUCGGAACGCCCUUGAGAUCCAGGCUUCCUUUUGAGCCAUCGUGGGCCGAAAGGCAAGCAGGAAAGAGAGCGUGUGGUCGGGCUUCCUCUGCCAGCCCACAUAAUCAUUUUCGCUCAAAAAAAAAACAUAAUCAUUUUCUUGUUGGUUCCUUAUUAAAGGAAAUCUCUUGACCCCCUAAAAAAAUCUCUUGUUUAACCCAGAAUCUUUUUUUAAGUGAUUAGAAAAAUCAAUUAUAUUGCCACGAAAAACACUGUCUAUUAUAUACAAAAAAACACAUUGUAUAAUGCCCUAAAAAAAUUGUACAUUGCCAAACUACAGAGUACGUAAAUUCAUCCUUUAUUUUUUGCCCAUGAAAAUAAAUUCCUGUGGCAGAAAAGAUAAGACGAUGAACAACGGAAUAAAGUCGAGCUGCGCCAGGGAUCAAAAUACAAUGAAAAUAGCGCUAGGGUGCUCUGUGCGUUACAUGUUCACUAACUAAGCUGUAAAAUGGAGGAAUUAAAUAACGAGUCAGAAUAUAUAUCACGAGUAAACAAAUCCAUCCCUAAUUAACUACACCCACUGAUUCUAAAUUCUUGACUCAAAUUUGCCCAAAUAUGAAUGUAUCUAUUCUUAAAAAGCGUCUAAAUACAUGUAAUAUUUCGACAAUAAUUUAGGAUCGGAGGGAGUAAUUGACGAUAUUGAUUGCUUCAUAGACUCCUUAACCAUGAUAAAAUCGAACUAGAGAAAAUCGGACUAUAGGUAUAACACACACAUAUGACUUCCCUAAUAAGCUCCUAAUAAUGAACCUAUGGAUUCUAUCUAUCCUACGCCGAUACCUCUCAGAAACAAACUUCAAAAUUAGGGCAAGUUAAUUUCGUGACAUAGAUCUUGCACAGCAGAACACUCUACUCGGGCUUGUUCUUGCGCAACCCAGCCUCUGUCGUGCAAUGCGGAUCGAAAUUUUCAGUCACUCUUUUGAUAUUGGUUCAUUUAAUUCUGUACUCACUCACAAGCUGAUUUUUUUCUCCAAGGGUUAAGUCUGUGGUCUAUACUACCAUUCAAAAAAGGAAUUGGAUGGGAAUUAUUUCUUACCGAGAUGUCUUGCGGAUCGAUUUUGUGUGUGCUAGCUUUCCUAAUAAAAACACCCCAUAAUCUACUUAAUUAGAAAAAAGAUCAAACAAUAACUUAGCACAAAAAUCGAUUUUAUUCACUCUAAAUAGCAUGAUUGUUGGAUACAAUAUAUGACAAGCAUGCAUCAUACUCAUCUAUCCUGAACCAAAAGACCGUGCUAGAGGUUCCCAAAGCCAGCUGAUGGAUCGGUUGGACCCUCAGUUGCAUCUUGGGCUCUGGGCGAAGGCGCUAACAGGGAAUGGUACCGUGGACGUCUCGAGAUGGAGGUUGAGCUGGUCACCGACACGCUGGACCUGGUUGAACCCAAGCCACGCGAACUCCACCUGCACCCUCACGCCGUACACCUUGGUUAGGGAUCCUGACUGGAUAACUCCGCCUACAGCUUUGUCGUACCGAAACUUGUAUUGCUUGCCGGCGACCGAGACAGAGAAUUCACACACGUUUGGGAGGGUCACACCUAGAUCGCCCCCGUGGAGCACGUACGACUGCACCCCUUGCGGGAGGAGUCCCCGUGGCAAGUUGUUUUGCUCUAGAACGUCAUAUGCUGUUGGUGCGGAGGAGGCAGCAUGGAGGAUGGAAGCCACGAGUACGGUGAGGAGGAGAUGCUGGAUGGCCAUGGCUGUUACCGACCACAAAGUAUAUAUCUAUAUGAAUAUGAUCUAUGAGAUUGUGAAUGGAGGAGGAGACCUUGGCCGCUUAUAUAUAGGCAGCCAAGACAAGUCAUAGAUGAAAAAAAAUGAAAUUUUAUUUGCAUUGAUUAAUCCUAAUUAACAUUCCAUAAAACGUUGGUCAAAAUAGGCUAAACGUACCACCCAAUUGAAUCAAGACUUUAUUUGUGUUUACUUUCCCUGAUUAAGCGUCCCAUAAAAACGUUGGUCAAAAUAGGUUAAAUGUACCACGCACCAAGAGGAAAAAUUGGUUCAUUUGAGGGCUCGUGGUGAACUUUUGAUCUACCUUCCAGGCUAGAAUUUGACCAUGCAUGCAUGCAUGCAUGCUACGUAUUAACAAAAAGAGUCCAUGAAAACUUCACACCCAGGACUUGAAUUGGGCCCAAGAAAUACGCAUGCAUAUGUUCACUGACAAUUUACUAAUUGUAUAACAAAUCCAUGCAUUAAUAUAUAUAUAUAUAUAUAUAUUAUUGACGAUUGCAAAUGUGCAUGUGUGCAGAAAUGUAUAUAUUGGAGCCGUUGAGAGAAUAUUUGUAUUAGUCGCAAAAAAGGGAGAAAAUAACUUGUAUGACAGAUGAUAGAUCGAAUUUGAUAUUUACCACUCAAAACGUGCCAAAGAUGUCCAAAUAACCCUCAAAAUUCCCAGCAUUCAAAUAUACUCGUCAAAUUUUGCAUUGCAUACAAAUUAACCACUAUAAUGACCAUUUGUUGACCGUUGCUGAUUAAAAGACACUUCAGUUUGCCCCUAUCUAUUUUGUUGAUUUUCCCUCUACAAGAUUCACAUUUCACAAAACACGGGUUUCAUUAAUUCCAAGUUUUUGACAUGAAGGUAAGGCACAAAAAGUUUGGAGUAAUUUCAGACAAGAAAACUGAAUAUUCCGGCAGCAAUUCCGGGGAAGAGCGCGCCACCACUACGCCCACCAUUGCAUGUAUAGGGGAAAUUCUGGAUGUUAAAUACAUAAUUCCCGAUCAUAACAAAUCCAUGCAUUUAUAUAUGAUUAACGAUUACAUUGUGCGUGCAUGCAGCAGCAAUGUAUUGGAGCCGUUGAGAGCAAACACAUAUGCAUGGUUGUGUCUUGGUGGAUUCAAUAAAAGACGAACGAAUACAGUGGGCAUUUGCGUCCUUAUGUGGUUAUAGUGAGAGCCAAAUCUUAAAGAAAACUUGGUGGAUAUCUCUUAAUAUGGUGCCAAGUAAAAUUGUUCGAAGCUGCACUAUUUUCCUUGAUAAAAAUAUGAAACAUCUGUAAUAUCAAAUCAAUACAAAUGUUUUUUUUUGUAUUGACCAUGAAAAUCUCCACGAUUUAGUACGUCAUUUAGAAAAACACAUCAGAGUAUAAUGGUGAUGGAUGCGACGCAGCCAUGGUGCAUCACUAGGUCUUCUUCGAGACAAAGCGAUCCAAGUGCAAACUGCAAAGACUUGUCCUAUUAGAGAGCUUAUCAAGUUUUCUUAGAGUUGUGCAUACAUCAGCUGAUCAGCAUGAGGGUUAUAGACUUGGAGCAGCUCUCCGUCUUUCAAAUGGGUGCAAUGGAGGAUCAACCCAUGUCCAUCAUGUGUCACCCUUAAAGGCACACAACGACGGGUGAAUGGUGUCAUCGGAUCACGUAUGCUUUGAUCCAAAUAUUCUCGUCGGAAUUAAUUAGAAGCCAUAUGUUGGUGUGAUGAUCACCCUUCGUGCUCGACACCCAUUGAGCCAUGCACAAGGCCUUGUUGAGCUCUGCUAUGCAGAGUGCCCCCGGCCGUCGUCGUUCUCCACAGCUCAGGACCGACCGAUCUCUGCGGGCCCUCGAUCUCCUCCUCCUGCCACGCCUCGUUCUCGAGGUCGAAGCAAAGUAACCCGUCGUCCCACAUCUCGCUUGACACCAAGAAGUACAUGGCUCCGUUGACGACGACCGGGCAUGCUCUUUGGUUGUAGGAAACACGGCAUGGAGGUGACGGCGAUGACCUCCACCUGCCACCGCCGUCGUCGUCUCCUACCGUAAACACCGCGCAGGAGUGCCCGUCCGCGAGGCAGACCACCUUUGUACGCGCGGGACACUGCGGCACGACCGAAGCCAAAGAUUUUGUAACGUGCCCACCGGUGUCGCCUCUCUUUCGGGCAGUCCGGCGACUACCUUCCCGGUGAGCAGGUCAAUGACACGGUAGGGAAUGCCGGAGAUGCCAGAAAUAUCGCCGAUGCAGAUCACGUCGCCGGCCGUCGCUGGCGGACGCCAUCUCGAAGCCACCUGCGUCGUUGAUCGUCCUCCUGACGUUGCCGUCCAUGUCAAUCAGCUGUUAUUGGAGAGUGCGUUUUCAUAUCUCACGAUUUUCCAAGUUCUCCUUCGAGUUCAGUCCCAGAAAAACUUAUACUUUCUCCGUCCCAUAUUAAGUUCCGAAUCUAAACAUAUUUCUAUGUAUAGAUAAAUUCAUAUUUAGACAAAUUUGAAUCACUUAAAAUGAGACGGAGAAAGUACUUUUUUCGAUUAAAAAGCUCAGCAGAAAAACUAAUACCAUGGCUAAUGAGUUACAGCUCCUAAUGCUAGAGCGUUCCCUUCUUCGACACGCGUCUCUUCGUCUCUUCGUCGAGGAUGUAACUCUCUUUGCUUAAUAAUAAAGUUGCCUACGUUCAAAAUAAAAACUCAUAUUCACAUUGCAAUUUAAGGCCAAGAAUGCUUACGGUCUUGCUCUCAAAUCUUCCACUUCACAGCGUUCUUGCAAGAAUUCUUUAAUCCUGGAUAAUUUCUUGAAAAGAAUUCCUUAUUUACCCUGGCCCAUUAUGUGUUCAUAAACUGAGUACGUACUAUUUUUACAAUGUUAUUGAAUUAAUCACGAUGUUUACAUGUUGGAUUGGAACUCCAUGCAUGCAUGUGUUGAUUUUUCCUAAUUAAUAAGUUAAUCACAUGUCUCCAUUUACUCUCACUGGUCAUGUUUUGUGUUUGGUAAACUAACGGCUCCAAGUUCACUACUCCCUCCGUUUCCAAGAGAACGACAUCUCUUAAUUUUGUGCUCAGUAAAAUUGUUCGAAGCUUGACGGUAUUCGUCGAUAAAAAUAUGGAACAUUUACACUAUCAAACCAAUACCAAUAUAUUGACCAUGAACAUCUCCAUGAUUUAGCACAUCAACAUUCAGAAAAAAAAACACAUAAAAGUCUAAUAGCGAUCGAUGCGACGCAACCAUGAUGGACACCUACAUCUUCUUAGAGACGAAGCGAUCCUACUUCAAGCUGCAAAGGCCUAUCAUGCUAGUGAUCGAGCUUGUCCAAUUUCCUUAGAGUGGUACAUUCGUUGGACUGAGGAUGAUACACUUGGAGCAGCUCUCCUUGUUUGAGAUGGGUGCAAUAGAAGGUCAAUCUAUUUGCAUCAUGUGUCAUCCUUAAAGGCAAAUAACGACACGUGGUUGGGGCCAUCGGAAUCGUGUAUGCUUUGAUCCAAAUAUUCUUGUCAGAAUCAUUUAGAACCCUGUCCAGACCAACUAUCGAUGGGAGAAGACUCCGAGCCUGUUUAAACUGAUUACUCUUUUGCGCCCAAAAAAAAAAACUGAUUACUCUUUGAGUCAUAAAGUUUCCUACCGUACGGAGUAAAAUCUUAUUUCACAUGGCAAUUUAAGGCAAAACGUUUACACGCUAGCUAUUACUCGUAAUCUUCCACUUCAGAGCAUUAUUGUAAGAACUCUUUAAUCCUGUAUAUAAUUUCUUGUAAGAAUUCCUUAAUCUUGGCUCUUAUGUACAUGUUCAUAAGCGGAGGGCUAGCACUACAGUUUCUUUUAACUAAUAUCCUAACGUUGUUGCUGCAGCUUGAUUGAGGCAUCCAUACACUAGUCCGCUCAAAUUUUGCCACACUGAAGACACAAUUUCAUUUAAAAUUGAACACUAUUUUAUAAAGUUAUUGAAUUAAUCACCAUGUUUAGAUAUUGGAUUCGAACUCCAUGGUUGAUUUGCCUAACUGACUUAAUUUCUAGAUAUUGAUUAUUAAUUCCAGCAAUUCACAUUUGUUGCCAUGUUUGGCCGGCGUUUUCAGGUCUUUAACUUUGCCCCUCCAUUCCUAAAAGGAGGUCAUUUCUUAGUUUUGUGCUAAGUAAAAAUUGUUCAAAGCUUAACAGUAUUCAUUGAUAAAAAUACGGAACGUCUACAAUAUAAAAUCGAUACCAAUAUAUCAGCCAUGAAAACCUCCAUGAUUAUUUAGCAACAUCAUUUCGAAAGAAAAAACACAUAAAAGUAUAAUAGCGAUGAUCGAAGUGACACAAUGAUGAUGCCAUAACUAGAUCUUUGUGACGAAGCGAUCCAAGUGCAAGCUGCAUAGGCCUAUCAUGUUGCUGAGCUUAUCUGGUUUCCUUAGCGCCCUACAUUCAUCGGCACGAGCAUCACAGACUUGGAGCGGCUCCCCUUGUUUCAAUCGGUAGCAACAGAAGAUGAAUCUAUCUCCACCAUUUGCCACCCUUAAAGGCACACAGCGAUAUGUGUCUGGGGCCAUCGGAAUCGUGUAUGUUUUAAUCCAAAUAUUCUCGUCGGAUUCAGUCAGAAGCCAUAUGUUGAUGCGAUGAGGACCUGUCGUGGUCGUGGUCGUGCCCCUGUCCCAUUGAACCAUGCAUAAGGCGUUGUUGAGCUCUACUAUGCGGAGGUCCCCCGCCGUCUUCUCCCACAGCUCGGGGCCAACCGAUUUCUGCGGGCCGUCGAUCGCGUCCUUCCACUCCUCGUUUUCACCAAGAAGUACAUGGCUCCGUUGACGACGACCGGCAAACCUCUGUAGUUGUGUCUUACACGGGCCGGAGGCGACGGCGACGGCCUCCACCCGGUGGUGUCGUCGUCGUCUCCUAAAGUAAACACCGCGCACGCAUAUCCUUCCAUGAGGCGGACCACCUUGUAGGCACGGGACGUGGCGGCACGGCCGAAGCCGAAGAUGUUGUCGUAAUGUUUCCGCCGGCGGCGGCGUGGUUGAUCCGCGUGUUGUUUCGGGCACUCCGCCGCUACCUUCCCGGUGACCAGGUCGAUGACACGGCAGGCGCCUAGGGUGGAAACAUCGGCGCACAUGCCAGGGGACAUGAACCCGUAGUCACCUGCACCCUUGAGCACCCUCGUGGCGUUGCCGUCCAUGUCCAUCAGCUGCAGGUCGCCGGAACCCCGGCCCCAUCGGGUUGCGACGAUGAAAGGCUCGGCGUGGCGAGAGCGAUGCUCGGCGUGCCACGAAGGCCGGGUCGGAAAUAAGGGCGCGCCACGCCUUGGACACGCACCGGGACCGGCGCACACGGACCACACCGGCACCCUCGAGAGGAUUUCCAAGAUGAUCUCGCUGGGCAACGUGACGCCGGCGCCGCCGCCGGCAUCAGGUGUGCUGGCCGUUGCCGUGUGAGAGCGAAGAAGUGGACGGCGGCGGCUUUCAGGCGAACGGUGUCGUCGGUGUUGGGCUUGCUUUGCUAGCCCACUUAAUUCCUCGGCUCUUCAAAUAAGAAUUCUCCAAAGCAGGGCAAUCGAAGGCAAAAAGGCUUGAUUCCCUCCCGAGUGGCAAAUAGCCAAGCACGUCAUUGAGGAAUUAAUAAUCGAUACACUAAUCCAGUCGCUUUAUGCCACAUUACUGAGAACGCAAUUUCACUUCUGAACGCAUACUAGUAUUUCUUUUUAUAACAUUGCUGAAUCAAUCUUGGCUAAGUGCCAACAAGACGGCAGUACUACUAAUCAUGGCUAAUUGCCAACAAGAUGGUGAUGCUACUGCAACUUAGCAGCUGGAUUACUGUACUACUUCGUUCCAAGUUUACUGCUCCCUCCUUUUCCAAAAAAGGAGGAAAUCUCCUAAUUUUGUACUAAGUAUAAAAUUGUUGGAAGGUUGACUAUUUCCGUUGAUAAAAAUAUGAAACAUCUAAAAUAUCAAAUCAAUACAAAUGUAUUGACCAUCAAAGUAUAACAGUGAUUGAUGCGACGCAGCCAUGGUGGUGGAUAACUAGAUCUUCUUCGAGACGAAGCAAUCCAAGUGCAAACUGCAAAGGCCCGUCCUUCUCACGACCUUAUCAUGUUUUGUGACCGUCGUGCAUACAUCGGCAUGAGGGUCAUAGAUUUUGAGCACCUCUCCGUAAUUCAUAUGGGAGCAAUGGAGGAUCAAUCUAUUUCCAUCAUCUGUCACCCUUAAAGGCAUAUAAUAAUAGGUGGCAUGGGACAUCGGAAUCGUGUAAGCUUUGGUCCAAACAUUCUCGUUGGAAUCAGUUGGGAGCCAUAUGUUGGUGCAGGGAUCACCUGUCGUGGCCUUGCAUCUGUCCCAUUGAGCCAUGCAUAAGGCAUUGUUGAGCUCUCCUAUGCGGAGGGCCCUCGCCAUCUUCCGCCAGAGCUCGUAGCCAACUAAUUUCUGCGGGCCUUCGAUUGUCUCCUUCCACUCCUCAUUCUCGAGGUCGAAGCAAAGUAACCUGUCAUCGUACAUGUUUUGUCCCACCAACAAGUACAUGGGCCCCGUUGACGACAACGGGCCUGGCUGCUCUGUGGUUGUAGCCGACACGGGUCGGAGGCGAUGCCGAUGACCUCCACGCGUUGUCGCCUCCUAUAGUAAACACCUCACAGGUAUUCCUGUCCACGAGACGGACCACCUUGUACGCACCGGACGUGGUGGCACGGCCGAAGCCGAAGAUGUAUUCUUUCCACCGGAGUGCUUCCACAUGUACAUUGUUUCGGGCAAUCCGCCGCUACCUUUCCGGUGACCAGGUCAAUGACACGGCAGGCGCCACGGGCUGUCGACGAAACAUCAUCGGCGACGCAGAUCAUGUCACCGACGCUGGUGGACAUCAACCCAGAGCCACCGACCCCCUUCAUCACCCUCACGACGUUGCCGUCCAUGUCCAUGAGCAGCAGGUCGUGGGCACGGCCGGAAAUCUCCAAGGACUUGGAGAAGCAGUCCUUGUUUCCGAUGGGAGCAACAGAAGAUCAACAAUCUAUCUUCAUCAUUUGUCACGCUUAAAGGCUUGUGAAGAUAACAGUCUUGGGCGAUCGGAAUCGCGUAUGCCUUCAUCCAAGUGUUCUCUCGAGACCAGGUGGCCGGUGGACAUGAUCAGCCCAAAGGCGCCACAUAAACCCCCUGCCCGCUAGAUCGUCCUCAUGACAUUGCCGCCCGUGUCCAGCAGAUGCAGGUCGUGGACACGGCCGCGGGAAUCCGGCCGGAGACAGGACAGCAGGCGACGACCAUGGGCUCGGCGGCCAAGGCCGGGGAGGAGAUCAGGGCGCGCCACUCCUUGCACACGCACCGGCACCCCGGCAGCCUUGAGAGGAUGUCCAAGAUGAGAUCGG
rnacentral:lncRNA from 1 species